CUGAAAUAUAUAUGGUCAAACAAACAAAAUACAAGAGAUAAGCAUCCAGUAAUCCUCGAACUAAGAUCAAAGUUGCUACGACACACUCCAACUUCACAGGGGUCUUACUACCCUCCUGGAAUCAAUUUUAACGCAUUUUUAUCACCCUUUUGUGUUGACGUGACACCUUUAUUACAUAAAAUAGGGUCCAAGUUAAUGGUGCCAUGUCAGCUAAAAGGUUGACAAAAGGUGCCACAUCAGCUAAAAAAAUUGACAAAAAAUGUCACGUCAGCUAAAAGGUUGACAAAAGGUGCCGCCACGUCAGCUAAAAAGAUUGACAAAAGGUGCCACGUCAGCUAAAAAGGUUGACAAAAGGUGCCACAUCAGCUAAAAAAAUUGACAAAAGAUGUCACGUCAGCUAAAAAGGUUGACAAAAAUACACUAAAAUUUAAUUCAGGGGGUAAUAGGACCCCUGUGAAGUUGGAGUGCAUCGUGAUAAAUUUGAUUAUAGUUUAGGGACGUACUAGAUAUUUUACUCUAUAUAUACAUACACUUUACACAACUAUAUAUUGCAAUUUAGUUAUUUUAUCAGGACUAGCUUGUGUGCGUCUUGUAUAAUUUCAUCGUGUAUAAUUCUACUAGGUAAUCAAUAUUUGUAUUGUUUUUUAUUACCCUAAUUGAAAUUUUGUCCACAAAAAAACUAAAAUAUAAUUUAUAAAUAUUUGUCCUGCCUGUUCAUUUUUACUUGUCCAUAUUUCUAAUUUUGGAUGUUUAAUAAUAUUUGUCCAAUUUAUAAAAUCAAUGAAUAAUUUAUCUAUUUUUAUCCAUUUUACCCUUGGUAUUAAACAAUAGAUCACUCAUCGCAUUUUUCAAAGCAAAAAAUUUAUUAUAUUCAAGAAAUGAUAUUGUAAAAUCACCCCUCUAUUUAUUGUUUCCUAAGGUAAAUUUUCAGUUAAAAGUGGACAAGUAUUUAUGAACGGAGGAGUAAAACAUCUAGUACCCGCUGAACUAUGAUUCAAAUUUAAUUAACAUAUUUUUGUACCUUUUUAGCUGACGUGACACUUUUGAUGUGUGCCUCAUUUUUAUGUAAUAAAUGUGUCACGUCAACAUAAAAAAGUGACAGAAAUACACUAAAAUUGAGUUUAGAGGUGAUAGAUCCUUGUGAAGUUGAAGUAUGUCGUAGCAACUUUAAUCAUAAUUCAGAGGAUACUAGAUGCUUAUCUCUAAACGGAGGGAGUACUUGUUAUAAAUUUUAAAAUAAUUAUCUUACACUAUUUGAUGAUUGUUCCACAAGAUUUUGUAGUUGUGAAAAUCAGCAGUUGGAUCAAACCAAAGAUGUAUUCUUUGCUCUCUACCUCCUUCACCAUUUGCAAAUACAUUUGUUUGCAAAUUAUAUGGUUGACCUUCUCUAUUUCCCAAAAACUCAAAAUCAAUUUCAUCAUGAAGGUUUGUAUUUGAAUGUAGCUGCAAAAUAAAAAAGUAAUUAAUUAGUAAAUAUUUAAUUUAUAACUUGUAUUAACUUUAUGCAAAUAUAUAUAUAUAUAUAUAUAUUAUCGAUGUAUUUUAAUCUAUUAUAACAUGUACGUUGUCUUAGUUUUCUAGGAUGUUACUCACAUGUUUUUUUGGACGAUUAUCUGUAGUUGUCUUUUAAGAUAUGUCGUGUUGGAAUGAAAAUGUUUUCAUGGAAAAAAAUUGCUCUUCUUCUUUCUUUUUUUAUUUGGAAAAUAAAUAAUCUUUUACUUAUUUUUUGUAUCUGGCAAUUUAUUCGGAAAGUUAUUUUCUUUAUUUUUCAAAUAAUUUAAUAAGCAUCCAGUACCCCUUCGAACUAUGGUCAAAGUUGCUACGGCACACUUCAACUUUACAUGGGUCCUAUUAUUUUCUGAACUCAAUUUCAGCGUAUUUUUGUUACCAUUUUAUGCUGACUUGACACCUUUAUUACAUAAAAAAGGGACUCACGUCAAAGGUAUCACGUUAGCUAAAAAGAGUGACAAAAAUACACUAAAGUUGAGUUCAGGGAUAAUAGGACUCCUGUGAAGUUGGACUGUAUUGUAGCAAAGUUGGUCAUCUAGAUGCGUUACUCAUUUAUUUAUUUUUUUUAAAAAAGAAGCAAUCUUUUAGAACAUUUUUUCAAGAAAUAUUUUGCUCUACACCAAACACACCCUUAGAUGACAUGCUAGUUUUUUUUUUUUUUUUUUUUUUUUUUUUUUUUAUAUUAUAUAGGUAUACUUAAGCUAAACCCAAUUUGCUUAAAAUAAAGUUCAUAAUCAAGAUGGUAUUAAUUACUUACAUAAAAAGCAACGACAACUCCUGCAGAAUCUCUGUUUGGUAACUUUAUUUUCAUGUGAAAAUAUCCUGAACCAUAAUUCAUCUUAGACCCAAAGCCAGAUCCUAUAUAUAAUUAAACAAAUUAAUUACUAAUUAUAAAUAAUAAUUAGUAAAUUAAUCAAGCUAUUAAAAGAAAUUCUGCUAUGUAUAAUUUAUAACCGUUUAAACUUUUAAAUGAGAAGGUCAGAUUUUUAAGUUUAUAUCGUCUCAAAAAAGUGUGGUCCAAAAACAUAUUACGCAAGAAAAUUUCUUUUGGUUAAACAAAUAAACUACGAAAAGAAUAAGAAUUGGCAUAUUUUUAUAUUUUCUUUUUAAUAUUUGAUAUUAUUUUCUUCUUAAUGCGCUCCAAAAAGAAUGAUGGAAUAUUUUUAUAUUUUUUUAAUGAGAUAAUUUUAUAGUAAUAUAGUUGCUACAACAUGUUUAGUACAAUAAAUUUCAAAAACAUAUAACCACACAAAAUGUAUUACAUAUUUAUAAAGGUGAAGCUAAAAUUUUAAUUUUAUAGGCUGUGAAUUUUAUAGCAACAAACUUCAAUCGAAUAAAUAAACCUUUUUAACACAAAUAUACUGUCCAAGUAAAACUUAUUGGAUUCGGACGAGUUUAUAUCCAGUUUCUAGCUUCGCUCCAAUAUAUUUAUGACGUACAAAAUUUAAAUUAUUCUGUUCAUUUUUAAAUUUCAAUCCAAAUAAAAGUAUGUUAAACAAAUUGAAAUAUAAGGCUUAAUAUAAUAUUAGGAAGAAAAAAAUUAGUUAAGUAAUUAAAUUACCAGAUGAAUUGUCCAUUGAAAUUUGAAGUUCUCUACCUUGGUUGAAGGAUACAACAUGUUGAUUUCCAUAUAUAAUAUUAUAAUGAACAUCAUAAGGCACAUUUUGGUCUCCUUUAGAAAAAACUCUAAGUAGGAGAAAACCAAAUAAAUACAUAACUUUUAUAUAUAUAGAAGAAUAAUACAUAUUUGGAGCAAAAUUGAAAAACUAAAAUUAUGAUUGAUAUAAAAUGCUAGUUGUUAAAGGAGAUCACUUGUUGUUUUUUAUAUGUAAGUUUGAAAAGCUUAUGUUAGACAAAUAUAUAUAGGUGGAAAAGAAAUAGAAGAAAGGUUUAGGAUGUGUUUGGUGAGAAAAUGUAAUGCUUUCCAAAUUCUCUAUAUAGAGUUGGUUAAAUAUUUUCGAGCCACAAACAGCCUCUGGUAGAAAUGCAAGGUAAAACGUCGUACAAUAGAUUUUUGUGGUUCAGUUCUUCUCUGGACCCUAAACAUACUUGGAGCUUUAGUGCACCGAACUGCUCUUUUUUAGUUGGUUGAACAUUUUUAGAAAAAUAUUUCAUUUUCUCUAGUAAAAUAAGUUCUUUAAAAGUCAGAAACAAGUUCUAUAAGAAGUAUUCUAUUAUUCUUUCUCACCCUCAACACCCCCAAACCCUACCCCUUGACUGUCAUAUUCCUUUGAUCGAUAACUUUUUUUAUCUAGUCUCAGUUGAUCCUUCAACGUCUGAUCCAACUUAAUCGAAAGCUUAAUUUGAAAGACGAGGGGACAUAGACGGUUUUCCCUCCCUCGGAUAGACAGAGAGGCAGGAACAAAUUUCUAUUUUUUUCCAUGUUGUCAAAAAAGAAUAGUGUUUUUUUCGCGUUGUUAAAGAUUUGAAUCAUGAAAAUAGAUGGUGAUAAAUGUCUAUUAGAUAUUGAUCAAGUCAAGUAGGUAUAAGGUUCAAGUCUACCAGUUUGUUAAGAUGUUUCCACCCGACCUCACCCACGUAAUGUUUUACUAAAAUAUAUAUAUAAAUGUUUUCGAGAUAAUACCUUUUUGCAUACUUUUCAAAAACUAAAAAAUAAGUAAAAGAUUUAUUUAUUUUUCUAUAAAACAUUUUCAGAAAAAAAACAAACAUCUUCUUUCAUACCAAACACACCCUUAAAAUACUUCACCCAAAUAACCAAAAAGAAAAAAGAAAGGAAAUAAGACCAAAAGAAAGAAAAUAUGGGCUUGUAUUAUUGUAGAAAUAUUUCCUUAGUCAUAUAAUAUACUUUCCUAAUUGGACAUUAUAUUUUAUAUCAUCGUUGGAAAUACAAUUCAAAAGACAUUAUAAAUAUAGAAAGGAAAUUAAUCAAACUAAUUAUGGGAAUUGAACCAACUAACUUGAUUCAUACGAAAAAAAAAAUUAAGUUUGUCACAGCAUAUUAGAGUAAUUAAUUAUCUUUUUAUUAGGUUAUUAAAUAUUAAUAAUUAAAAAGAACAGCUUAGUGCACUAUUCCCGCUAUACACAAGUUCGAUUAUGUAUCGUGAAUUAAUCUUGACUAAAACAUGCUAUAUGCAUAUUUAAGAUUCGAACUUUAUGUAUGAAUUUCUACAAUGACUUUAAAUUAAUAUAGUAAAAAAACUUAGAUUGACAAUCGAAUAUUUAUAGAAUAUGAAUUUUUUUUAAUUUAUAUACAUAUACGAUCAGGGCAAAAGUUACAUAUCAAAAUUUCUGUAAAACUGUAGCACUCUAAAGUAUAUAUUCGUCAGUGAUAUAAUUUCUUUCGCGGAGAUAAUUUUUCAUAUUUCUUUCUAUGUUAUUUUUAUUAAAUAUAGUAAUUAUUUUUUAUUUGAUUUUUUUUACCAUCAAUAUAUAUAACUUAUAACUUAAACUUGUUCAAAGAUAAUGACCAAGUCAUAAGGCUCAAAAGAAUGAAGGCAAGGGAAGUAUGAGCUGGGCAACAAUCUUGAUCACUCCAUAUGUACACCCAUUUUUUUUAAUUUUUUAUUCAGUGUUCGGUAUCCAUAUUGGAAUCUGGAUAAUUCGAAUUUAUGCCAGGUAGGGCCCAUACGGAGGUAACGCUAUCAAGGGUUUUUUUUUAUACCUAGGGCUCGAAUCCCACAUCUCUGAUUAAGGAAGAAGCAGCCCUCAUCCAUUGCACCACAUCCUUUGAUGGUCAUAUGUACGUACACCCAUAACUUUACACAUCAUAAUUUGCUCAUUUUAGAAAUAACUUGAAGAAAAAAUAAAUAUGAUUUUAAAAACUUUUUUUUUUUUGAAUUAUAGUAUGAAUAAUUAAUUUAAAUAAUCAUACAUUUAAUUGUUUAAACUAGAAAUAGCUAGUAGUUAUAUAAAGACAAAUUCACCAUUUAGAAUCAACGAGCAAAAUAGUCUUGUUUACUUUGUUUCGUUGAUCAAUACUAUUACUCUUUUUAAUUUUCGCACAAUCUUUAAGAAAAGUAGUUAAUAGCAUUAUAUGUAAUUGGGUAAAUUACCAAUUUUUUUUCCUUCUAUGUGUCAUUUGAUUGACACUACAAUAAAUGGAAUAUUAAGGGUAUAUUUGGGGGAAAAACUAAUACAUUACUACCUAGUUUAUUUAGAAACGCUUAAUAUUUGAAGUACUUUUUUUUUUUUUUUUUUUAAAUUUUCACUUGUUGUUCGAUAUUUUAGAUUCGUACUAGAAAGUUUCAGCUUAGAGGGCAGGGAUAAAGAGCACUCUAAUAAUGAUGAUUUCGUACCUAAUCUGAUAUAUUUGACGAAAGAGUACUUACUAUUCCACUCACAAUCCUCGUUAGUGAUCUUUUCUUCAAAUCAUAAUUGGUGCUCAAUAGAAAAUUUUUUGUACAUGAUAUCCAAAUUAAGUGAUCUUGUAAUAUACAAAAAAAAGUAAGACUAGAUACAUUUCUAAAAGUAAGAAGUUCAUUUAUUUUUCUCGAAAAUACCUUUUUUCUAAAAAAAACCAUCUUUUAUACCAAACACACCCUUAAAAUACUUCACCCAAAUAACCAAUUCUAAAGACAUUAUAUAAAUAUAGAAAGGAAACUAAGCAAACUAAUUAUGGGAAUUGAACCAACUAACAUGAUUCAUACGAAAAAAAAUAAUUAAGUUUGGUAUAACAUAUUAGAGUAAUUAGUUAUCUUUUUAUUAGGUUAUUAAAUAUUAAUAAUUAAAAAAACAGUCCAGUGCACUGCUCUUGCUAUACACGAAUUUGAGUAAGUAUCAUGAAUUAAUCUUAACUAAAAAUGCUAUAUGCAUAUUUAAGAUUUGAAUUUUAUGUAUGAAUUCCUAUAAUGACUUUAAAUUAAUACAGUAAAAAAAUUUAGAUUGACAAUAGAAUAUUUAUAGAAUAUGAAUUUCUUAAUAUAUACAUGUACGAUCGCAGUAAAAGUUACAUAUUAAAUUUUUUGUGAAUCUGUUGUGCUAUAAAUUCAUCAAUUAUAUAAUUACUUUCAGAAUGUGAUUUUUCAUAUUUCUGCUUAUAUUAUUUUUAUUAAAUAUAGUAAUUAUUCUUUAUCCUAUUUUUUUUUACCAUUAAUAUAUAGAAAUUAAACUCUUGCAACGACAAUGAUCAUGUAUUAAGGCUCAUCAGAAUGAAGGCAAGAAGAAAGUUAGGUUUAGGAUGUGUUUGUUUAAGAGGAAAUUAAUUUUUAUUUUUUUUCAAAUUUGCUAUAUUCAGUUAGUUAAAUAUUUUGGAGAAUAUUUUCUCUUGAAAAAUAAGUUCUAUAAAAGUUAAGAAAAUGAGUUUAAUUCCUUGAUUAUGAGAAUAGGAAAAAUAAGUUUUAUAUCAAUUUCUUUGGAUGGUUAUUACGUAUUGUUUCAUAAUGUAUUGUAUUAAGUUUUAUAUCAAUUUCUUUGGAUGGUUAUUACGUAUUGUUUCAUAAUGUAUUGUAUUGUAUUGUAUUGUUUUAAUUAAUAUAACGUUUGGAUAGGUUGUAUCGUUUUACGUCGUUACAUAAUUUCACACGUUAAUAAUUUGAAGGAUAAACCUACUAGAAAUAUGUACGUAGGAUAGUGCUACUAUAAAAAGAUAGGAUAAGAGAUAACAUAUGAUUAUUAAAUAAUAAGUAAAAGUAAAGCUUGAAAAAAAAAUAUAAGGUAACAACGCGAUCUCACCAAAUUUAUCGUUACAUAAAAUGAGACUUUUCGUUGUUACCUAACGAUGGAACUUAACGAUAAGAUAUAAUAAACUUUAAGUAACAAUCAAAACAAACAUGAUAUUUUAACUAGCAAUACAAUACAAUAUAAUAUGAUGGAUAACAACCAUCCAGACACUGGUUGCAUUCCAAGUUUAUUGUCUCUUCCUCACCCCAAACACCCAAAACCUGUAAUACCUCGUAUUUUUGGGCUAGUCUUUGAACCGUUUUUCCUACGUGUAUAAGCUAUAAUCUAAACGAUUCCCAUGCAAAUAUGAGUUUCAUGAUCUUUAUCCUCAUGUUUGAUGAGCUUUUGAGGUGAAAAGCUUUCCAACGAUAUCAAUUUUGCAAAAAUUCAAUAAUCGAGUAAAAAGUUAUGACAUUUUUCGUGUGAGGUAGUGAGCUGAUGCUAUCUUGACCCGUUGCGUCGACUGCGCCUCGACACGAAAUCUGACGUCAAUCCAAAGCUGUUUUACAUGCUAAUUCAUAUCCUAAAAGGUCUAGGGACACUUUGGUCAAUUCCCCUCACCCAAAUACGUCCAUAACAUUAAAUUUUAGCCCCCAAAAGCAUUAGAUACAUUCUCAUUCAUCUUUUUUCUCUCCAAGAAAGCCCUAGCCCCCUCAAGAACACCCAAAAACUCCAUCAAAUUUCCUUCAAGAUAGUCAUGAAUCUAAGCUUUCUAAUUCAAGAACUUCAAGAAGAAGCUUCAAGAACACCAUUAGAGAUUCAAAAGUUUAAGCUUUUACAUCCAAUUCAUCAAAUCCAAACUAUUAAGGUAACAUGAAUUUCAAUUUUGGGUUCAUACCCAUUUAUUACUAGUUGAAUAUUAUGAUUUUUAAGUGUUCUUGAUGUUGAAAUACAUGUCUAUUUUCGUAAAUUAAUGCUUAUGACUAUAAUUUUCAGAUUUUGAGUUGAAUUGUGAGUAUUUAUAUUAUCAAGCAUGAACAUUACAAUGUUUUGAGGUGAAUUGAAAGCAUGAGUUAUUAAGCCCUAAUUGAUUAUGGUUAUUUCAAGUAUGAUUAUGCUUUUGAGUAUCCCAUGACAUGAUUUUAGACAGCUUUGCACAAAGAUUUGAUCUUUUGAUCUUUAGCUAAGACAUGGAAUCCACUUUACAGCUUAAACUCAGUUUUGAAUGAACAGAUACAUAGUUAGCUUUCAGUAUGAAAUAUUAUGACUUUUAAAAGUGGAUUUUUCCUACAGUAUGAGCAUAUAAUUAAGGGAGUAGUAUUUAGCACCGAGCGAAAAGUGUGAGAUUAGCGUGUCCUAUCUUCCACAAAACUACAUGCCACUGUAGGAUUAAGAUUAUUUCCACUUCUACGUGGAUGACUCAGAUGUGAUCACUUAGCUCAGGUUAUACUCCCUGGCAAGAGUAUGACACCUCUCCCCAACGUGAGGUUUCUUCCUUAGAAGGACGAGACAUUGGACUCCAUGAUAGCUCGCUCGCAUGAUUUAUGUCGGUUAAGAGAACCUCCCUUACAGAUAAGCUUUUGAAAAAGAAUUUUUCUUGCAGAACAGUCUUUAAGUAUUUUCCCUGUAUGAUGUUUUGCCAUACAUGUAUAUGAGUUCGAUAUAUUGAUAUUCAAUUAUAUAAAUAGUAUUUGAUUUGGUAUUUUGAUCCUUUGAAUGAGUAUUGGAAUCCACUUUGCACCUUUAAUUAUGAUAAAUGCAUAACUAAUUUCAUAGUAAACCCUUAUGUGAGUUUUAAUAUGGAUUUUCAUGAGAUGAGCAUAGACAAUUAAAGAGAGUAGUAUUUAACACCGAGUUUGGUAUGAUUCCAAGGGCUUAUACCCCAAAACUACGUUCCACCAUAGGAUUGAGAAUUUAAGUGCCACGUUAAACUCUUUGGCAAGAGUAUUACACCUUUGCCUAAUGUGAGGUUUCUUCCUUAGGAGGAUGAGAUAUUGGACUCCAUGUAGCUCGCUUGGUUUAUGUCGGUUAAGAGAAACUCCUUUGUAGAAUGGUCUUUAAAGUAUUUUACCUACAGCUUAAUAGUAAAGAUUUUCAGAUUAGUUUCUAAAAGUAUUUUCCCUAAUAGUAAAGGCUUUCAGAAAAGAUUAAUACAAACAACUUUUAGAAAACUAAGGAUAAAGGCUCACGAAUUUAUUUAGAUUAUGUCUUACAGAAAGAUAUCAGCUUUCACAUUUCAGAUUUAAAGAGUGAGUCCUUUCUACACUUAGACAGUAUGAUUUAAAGAAAGAAUUCAAGUACAUCUUUUAGAAUUGGAUGUUAUGGCUCACAAGAUUUAUAAAGUAUGAAUUGCUCUUAUUGCUUCAGAUUUCAGUAUUUUAGACAUUCUAGCUUAUGUGAGUCAUUUACAUUUAGCAUGCAUUGUUUCACAAAUUAUGAUGAUGAGAUGAUGUUUUACUUAUGCAUUUCACCCCCUUAUACUCAAUACAUCCUCAAAGUACUGAUCCACAUAUAUGUCUAUGUGCUACAUUGUCUCAUAAUGUAGGUACAAGUUUUAGUAUGCACAUUCAAACUCAGACAAUUGCAGAUUCCAGCCAGCAAGAUAAUGAGUCCUCUUACUUCGGGGACUUCGAUUAGAUUUAUUUAUGUUCUUUGCUUUCUUCAUUCAGUCGUAUUGAUUCGGGAUAGCUGGGGUUCAUGUCCCGGCUACCUAAAAUCAAUGCUAGUAGAGGCUUCAUAGACAGUCAGUUGAGUUGUGUAUUUUUAUUUCGGUUUUGGUUUUACAUAAAGCAGAGUUGUAAAUAUUUUCCUACAGUUGUAUUGAUCAUAUUCAGAAUAGAGUUAUCUUCUGGUUAUUUUGUUCAGAUUUAUGUAUUUUAUUCAGUUGCUCAUGAGUUAUGCCAGUAGAAGGGUUAGCUUGGGAUCACUUGUGACCCUAAGCACCGUGUGACGUCUCAAAAUCCGUUUUCGAGGCGUUACAAAACCCCACCCCUUGACCGUCACAGCCCAUUGAUUGAAAACUUUUUCUAUUGAGUGUUAGUUGAUCCUUUCAACGUCUGAACUAACUAAAUCAAAAGCUUAAUUCGAAAGACGUGAUGACAUCAAAGGUUUGCCCUUCCAGAGGGAAAAGCUUUUGUUUUUCUUUUCAUGUUGUCAAAGAAUUGAACAGUAUUUUUUUUUUUUGAGUUGUCAAAAAUUUGAAUAAUGAAAAUAAUUGGUGAUAAGUGUCUGAUCAACAUUGAUCAGGCUAGGUAGGAACAACUUUCAAGUCCAUCAGAAUGUUAGGAUGCCUCCACCCUACCUCACCCCCAUAAUGUUAUACUAAAAUAGAUAUAAAUAUUCUGGAGAUUAUAUCUUUUUGCUUACCUACCAAACACCUGAAAUUAAGUAAGAAGUUCAUUUAUUUUUCUGGAAACACUUUUUUUUUUUGUUUUUUUUAAAAACAUCUUUUAUACCAAACACACCCUUAAAACACUUCACCCAAAUAACCAAAAAGAAGAAAAAUAUGGGCUUGUAUUAUUGUAGAAAUCUUUCCUUAAGUCAUAUGUUAUAACUUCCUGAUUGGACAUAUUUUUUUUACAUCAUUUUUUGGAAAUACAAUUCAAAAGACAUUAUAAAUAUAGAAAGGAAAUUAUGCAAACUAAUUAUGGAAAUUGAACCAACUAACUUGAUUCAUACGAAAAAAAAAGUUUGGUAUAACAUAUUAGAGUAAUUAAUUAUCUUUUUAUUAGGUUAUUAAAUAUUAAUAAUAAAAAAGGACAGUUCAAUGCACUACAGUCACUAUACUCAGGUUAAUUAAUCUUAACUCGAACAUGCUAUAUGCAUAUUUAAGAUUUGAAUUUUAUGUAUGAGUUCCUAUCAAAAUUUUUGUGAAUCUGUUGCGCUCUAAAGUAUAAAUUCGUCAGUGAUAUAAUUACUUUCAUGGAGGUAAUUUUUCAUAUUUCUUUCUCUAUUAUUUUUAUUAAUAUAGUAAUUAUUUUUUAUCCUAUGUUUUUAACCAUUAAUAUAUAGAAAUUAAACUCUUGCAAAGAUAAUGAUCAUGUAUUAAGGCUCAAAAGAAUGAAGGCAAGUGAAGUAUGAGUUGGGCAACAAUCUUUAUCACCCCAUAUGUACAUAUCAUAAUUUGCUAAAUUUAGAAAUAACUUGAAAAGAAAAUAAACAUGAUUUUAAAAAUAUUUGUUUGAAUUAUAGUAUGAAUAAUUAAUCUAAAUAGUCACACAUUUAAUUGUUUAAACUAGUAAUAGCAAAUAGAUAUAUAAAGACAAAUUCAAGAUUUAAAGUCAUCGAGCGUCGUUUAAUUUGUUUUGUUUCUUCUGAUUCAUAUUAUUACUCUUUUAGUUUUUGCAAAAUAUUUAAGAGAAAUAUUUAAUAGCAUUAUAUGUAUUUGUGUAAAUUACCAUUUAUUUCUCCUUAUAUGUUAUCAUUUGAUUGACACUACAAUAAAUGGAAUAUUAAGGGUAAAUUUGUGUGUGUGUGUGGGGGGGUGGUAAUACAUUACUACUUAACUUAUUUCGAAACGCUUAAUAUUUGAAGUAAAUUCUAUUUCUGUAACUUCUCAUUCGAUGUCUGAUAUUUUAAAAAUGGUACUGGAAAGUUUCAGGGUAGAGGAUAGGGGUAAAGAACUACCUAAUAAUGGUGAUCCCAUAUACAACAAAACUCAAUCAAAUCUGAUAUAUAUGAUGAAGAAAUACGUACUAUUCCAUCGUAACGUUUGCUGGUGGUCUUUUCUUCAAAUGAUAAUUUGGUGCUCAAUAGAAAAUUUUUCAUACAUGAUAUCCAAAGUGAUCUUAUAAUAUACCAAAAGUAAGACUAGAUGCAUUUCUAGAUAUCAAUUACUACAAAAAAGAAAUAACAACACAAAUCUAAAGCAACAAAAUUUGUAAUAAAUAUGAAAAUUGGCUCAAUGUUGAUGAAAUGAUUAGAAAAUGUCAAGAAUUUCCAAUAUGAAAUUGUUGCAAAGUGGACAAUUACCUCCUUCAACCCAAAGUUCCCUUGAACAUAACCUACAAAAUGAGUGUCCACAUGGCACAAAUGCAGCACCUUUAUGUCUAACUUGGCAAACACAACAAUUGUUUAAGUGAUCUUCACCUACAUAGGCCCCACUGUCGUCCUCAUCCUCAUCCUCGUCCUCUCCCAUCAUGUAUGGUGACCCUUCUGACUCGGCUAACAGCGCCAUCAGUGACAUUCUCACCGGCUCCUCUCCCUCUUUCGCUUCGUCUUCUCCUUCUUCUGUGUUGUCUUCCUCAUUUUCCUCCUCGUCCUCUUCUGACUCCUCCUCCACUUCAUACUCCAUUCUACCACUUUCGCCAUCAAUCAUUCUUCCCGAUCUUCUUAUUGACAUUGAAGAGUCAAAUCUUGCGCUUGCGCUUCCUCUAUGAGCUUUACUUGAAUUCCGGCUCAGUGUCCUAGUCCUCGGUCCAAAUUCGUUAACCAUGUCAUCGGGGUACAUUGCAUCUUUGGAUGAAGGAAAUCGAGUAGAAAGCUUACGGUUAAUAGAUCGACUAUUACCCUGAUUAAUUGGAAUGUCAGAAGCCGGAACAGGGGUUGUGGUAAUCGAAUCCAUUUAGCUUUUCACUAAAGUAUUUGCAACCUUCCUUCGUUUCUAGAAGAUUUUAAAGGUCAUGCAAGACUACUCUGGGAUUGUUGUUGUUAUUGUUCUCUUCAACUCUGAGAAAUCUUGGAGUUCGAAGAAUUGACUAAAUCGUCACUAGCACACUUGCCACCUCCACCAAUGCGUUCACAACUUUGAAUGAAAUUCCUACAUAAUGCAAAUGAGAUUAGAUUAAUUUCUCAUUGAAUUCAAAAACCUACGAUCAAUUGAGAUUAAAAAAAAAUUCGUGAAUUUUCAUAAGAGAUGAACACUAAAUGAUCAAGACGAAUUCAUGAUGAGUUUCAAAAAAUUGUGAACAAAAAUAUAAAUCAUUUUAUAGAGAUGAAAUUUUUUACAUAAUUCAAACAUAAUAAAAGUUGUAAUGCAAAAAUCAAGAAUUGUUAACCUAUAAGCUAGUUAAGAUCUAUCAAAUCAUGAAAGUUCAUACAUAAAUUUUAAAGAAAAGAAAACAACAAUCGAAAUUGGUGUCAAAAAAAUUGCGGUAUUCUGUCUUAAAUAAUAAACGCAGAUAGUAAAUAACAAAAUACUAAAAAUUUAGAUCAUAGAAUUUCUCGAUUCGAUUUGUAAAUUAAACACAGAGUUUCAUGAAAAUUUAUAUACAAAGGAUUAGAAGGGUACAAGAAAACAUACAUGAGAAAUCAUUAGAUUUAUGGAUUUUGAAUCAAACAAAGCACAUAUUCUGUAAAUCAAUGAAAAAAAAAAGUUACUAAAGGGAAAAAUACACACAUUUCCGAGAGAGAGAAAAGAGAGAAAGUGAAAUAAAAUAAAAAGGUUCGUUUCACCGCUACACUCACUCAAGUUCGUUUAUUAUUCAAUAAAAUAGGUGAAAAUUAUAUUUUUUUUUCUUUGACUAAACGUGAUUCAUCAAGCUUUUCUCAAUUUUCAGUUAUAUGUAUUUUUCUGACUUAUUCAUCUGUUGACUAACGAUUUUUAAUUUAUUAUUCAAUAAAAUGAGUGAAAAUUAUAUUUUUCUAUGACUAAACGUGAUUCAUCGAGCUCAGUUAUAUAUAUUUUCUAACUUAUUCGUCUGUUGACCAAUGAUUUUUACUUUAUUAUUCAAUAAAAUAAGUGAAAAUUAUAUUUUCUUUGACUAAACGCGAACUCAAUUUUCAGUUAAAUGUAUUUUUCUGACAUAUUCAUAUGUUGACUGAUGAUUUUUAAAUAAAAUAAAUGUGUAUUUUGCUAUCUAAACUAUCAACAUCAAUUUAUUAGAUUUAAAAUCAUGAUAUAAAAUAUGACCUUAAGAGUGUCUUUAAACCUCCAAUUAAUAUAGGAAAACUCAUAUAUUACAACUAUACUUAACAGAUAGGUCUUAAGUAAAUACUAUAUAAAUAGCAUAGUCUACCAUAUUAAUUACAAAUUUAAUAUAAUUAUAUCUCUGUCAUAUUAUUUUGUACUUUUACGAACAAUAAUAUAAGCAGCAUAACAUAUUAUUUGCAAUCAAAGAAAGGGAUUGUAUUAUCAUUUUACUUUCAAAAAUAGGUUAGAUAUAACUUUCUUUAUUCUUUUGCGAAUAAUAAUAUUACUACCAUCGACAAAAUUAUAAGAGUUUUAUCCCAUAUUAAAUUCAAUCAGUUUUAAUCCGAGACUUUUGAACUAUAGGCGUAAAGCAGGUCAUGAACCCACAGUUUAGUGUUCCACGACUUUUUAUUUGGCUUAGCAAUCCUUCUUUUUCUGAUGUGCCAUGAUGAUGUGAAAGAUGAAUUUUCUAUUCAGAAAGUUUGUUUUUUUUUUGGUUUUUAAUCCGGUGUUUGAAAUUCACAUUGGAGUCCGACUAAUCCAAAUUUGCGCCGACUACGGCCCCAUUCGGGGGCAGCGCUCCCAACUAAUGGAUGUUAAAUAUAAAGUAAUUUGAAAGUAGGUCUAUGUCUUUUCCCUAAAAGAAAUGAUAUUUUUUGUUUUCUAUCCGAUGUCAGGGGCGGACCUAUGUUCUAUUUUGGGGUGCUUCGGCACACACUAAAUUCGACGCGGAUUAAGUAUAAUUACAUAGAAAAUAUAUGAAAAUAGGUAUAAAACAUAUAAAAGCACCCACUAUAAUAAAAGUUGAUUGGGUGCAUUGUCAUUUAGGUUGAUCUUAAGGUGCUCCAUUGGAAGGAGGUCUCGGAUUUGAACCUCAUUGAGGUGAUUUUUUUUUACUUUUUUUAGUUUUUAAAUUUUUUAAGCACCCACUAUGCUUAAAUCCUGGAUUCGCCACUGUCCGGUGUUCGGUGCCCGCAUUGGAGUCCGACUAAUCCGGAUUCGUGCCGCGUAGGGCCGCAUUCGGAGGAAGUACUUCCUACCAAGAAUUUUUCCGUAGGAAUGAAUUAAUCUUAUAUAAAUAAUCGAUCAAAUUCAUUAUUUAAUUUCUUUACUAAAAAUUACACAAAUACACAGUUUAUGUUUUUAAUAUUACAAAAAAUCCCAACUCCCUAAAUAGAGUAUAAAAAUCCCAACAUGUACACAAAAUGCUAUGUAUAUGUUGGCUAUGUUAUGUAUUUUAAUAGGGUGAGAGAGUAAAGUAAUUUAAAAGGUGGGAGAGAGUGUAAUUACUUCCAAAAGGGUUGGUAUUGAUAUAUACAUGUGCUGCACGUGUAUAUAACAUUAAUAAUAAUAAAUGCAAGAAAAAUAAAUUGAUAUGUGUUUGUUAUAUUAUUAAGUAUAACACUUUAAAAAUAUAACGCAAAAAAAGUAUUGAAAUAUAACACUCCAAAUCUCUCUCUCUUACACCUUUAAUAACACUGUUUGAUGAUAAAAGUAUUAAUCAUUCGAGGUACUUCGUUGAAUGAAUAAUUUUAUCUAAAACAACUUAUUGUUUUCUGUAAUUGACCUUUGAUCUUAGAACUGGAAAUAAAUAUGCAGUACAUAAAUGAUCAAUAGUUAAAAUUUGAAUGACAACAAUAUAUAGAGGAAAAGUUUCACUUCUCGACUUCUACUAUGUACUAUUUAUUUCGUUUACAACAAACAAAAGAUUUACCUAGCCAAUUCGUUUAUCAUAAUGCACGCACAACUAAAAUAUCUAUAAUAAAAACAAGCAAUCAAGCAAAUUCUGUGAUUCUCAACUCACCGAAUAAAUCUUUUAAACAAAAACAAAUGAUCAUCUUGAAAAGAAAAGAAAAGAAAAGAAAAGAAAAGAAAUAUGAAUUAACCACAAGUCAAUCCAAAUCUAGAAAAACUUACUGUAAACUUUAACUUUGUUCAAUAAAUUACUAUGUCUUCACAAAUUGCAGCGAAGAACAAUCACGGACUAUUAAAAUAGAUAUAAAUAUGUCUCUUCAUCCAAGAACAACUCUAAUCAUAGUCACGAAUCCUGUCACAUUGCAAAAUUAAUAGCCUAUAUUAUUUAAACUCUGAUGAUUUUUUUUAAUACGACAGUCUCUUUCUCUAAAUAAAAAAUCCUUAAAUAAGGAAACAAUUAAUACACUGUAUUAGAUGGUUUGAAAAUUUUAAAUUACAUAUAUUUAAAUAAGGUGAAAAUCCUAAAUUACAUAUAUUUUAAUAACGUAAAAACUAAUUUAUAGUUUAGUAGGUUUCAAAGUUACAAAUCAGAAAAAAUAAUUAAAUUAUUAAUUUUUAAAUAUAAAAAUAGGGAAAAAACUAUUGUAUGCGCUUUGCGCGUGACCUAAGUGAGUAAUUUAUUUGACAAUAAAUAUUAUUUCAAAAAAGUGAAACUUAGAUAAAGAUUUACUUGUAUUGUUGUUCAACUUUAUUGGCAUGUUGGGCUAACUCUUGUUAAAAUUCACUAUAUAAAAUAGGAAAAAUUACAUAUUACAGACAAAAUACUAUAUUAAUUACAUUAUAUGGUUAAUGUUUUAAAAAAUUACAAUUCAUAGUCUUAGUAGUUAAAAGUCAAUUUUUUUGUGGGUCCUAUAUACAAAUGUAUGAAGAUUUGUAUAUAUCAAUUUUCUCUCAUAUAUUUAUUUUUGGUAUUUUCUUUCUAUUCUCUCUAUCCUAUUGACUCAAAAAAGACAACAAUGGAAUAUCAAAACAUAAGAUUUUUAAUGAUAUCUUCUUCAACUAUUUUUUCCUUAAUUUUCUCUCAAAAUCACUCUAAUAUCCUUGAUUUUAAAUUAAAGAAAUGACAAAAUUGACAACAUCAUAGUACAUGAUUAUUCAAGAGAUCUUCUUCAACUUUUUUCUCCUUAUUUUUCUCUUAAAGUCACUCUGAUAUCACAAAAUGUAAUCCUUGAUUUUUCUGUGAUAAAUCAUUUUUGCAGAUUUUUCACCACAGAAAAUCAGUUUAGGAUAUUUACUGACAUUAUAUUUAAUUUUUUUAAAAUUUGUAUAAAUUAUGUCAGUUAGUCGUUAAAUUUCUUCGUUGUUCAUAUAUUUUACAAAAAAAAUAGAAAAGGGGGAGCACUCCCCUGUUUUUCUAAUUUUUUUAUUUUUGCAGAUUUUUAUUUGAUAAUAUAAAUUUUUAUAUAUUAUGUAAGUCACUCCCCCAUUUUUUUGAUGGAUGAUUUAUCAAAAAACAAAAAAAAGAAAAGAAUUUUGCAUCUUCUAACAAGGUGGAAAGAAAAAAAUAUUUUAAGAUAUCUAAAUCUAAAAGGGGGAGCAAUGAAGUUGACAAUGAUUACGAGGUUUUUUUUAUAUAUUCUCAUGAAACAGAAUUGUUGGUCAAUAUACAUUUUUGUUUCAAUAAAUAUAGAUCCGUAUACUUUAUUUUGUAGAAUAACACAUGUAUAUAUAUACAGAGUUAGAGUAUAUGUAUGUAUAUACAGUUUUUAUUUUUGAUAUAUGUAUAUACAAUUUACAUAUAUGUAUAUACAGUUAACUUUCACAUAUACAUUUUGAAGAAUAAUAAAUAUGCAGAUAUAUACAGUUUUAGAGUGCAUAUAUGUAUAUACAUUCAAACUUGUUAUUAUGUAAAACAUUCAAAUUUGUAUAUACAGAUAUACAAAAUAUGUAUAUUUCGUUUACAAACAACAUUAAAUUUGUAUAUACAGAUAUACAAACAACAGAUAUAUAAAUAAUAAACAAUAAUUUUGAUUUGAAUAUAUGUAUAUUUCGUUUGCAAUAUCGUUUACAAACAACAUUCAAAUUUGUAUAUACAGACAUACAAACAACAAAUAUACAAAUAAUAAACAACAGUUUUGAUUUGAAUAUAUGUAUACUUCAUUUGAAUAUAUGUAUAUAUAGAUAUACAAACAACAGAUAUACAAAUAUCAAAUUUAUGUAAACUAAUAUACAGAUAUACAAACAAUAGAUAUACAAAGAAUAAAAACAAUCUUUGUAACCUUUAAAACAGAUAUACAAAUAUAAACACAACUACUUACAAAAGGAAUGAAAACUCUUAGGAAGAGGUUAAAAAAAUACACGUCAAUAUAAAGUAUACCAGCACAAAAUGAUGGCACACCACUUAGCAGUAUGUAGAGUAUGACUCCUGCUGUCCACACAUCUGCUUCAGGACCAUAAUGCUUCAAAAGCACCUCUGGAGCCACAUAAUAUGGACUACCAACAACAUCUGUGAAUAUUUGGAUUACAGGAGCAAAACAAAGAAUACCAUUCAACCAACAUAACAAUAUAAAGGAAAUAUUCAAAUAACGGUCGCUACAGAAUCAAUGUCUCGCCUCUCGAAGACCAAUAUUUACUUAUCCCCCGAGAGUGACAACUUAGGGAUAUAAGCAUCUCCAAAAAAUCACUUUAGUAAUAGUUCAAGCAUCAAGUUAGAAAAUAAAAUCUGUGAAAAAUACAACCAUGAAAAUCUCAACAGAGAGUCAUUAAGCCAAGCAUAUGCAAAUCUUGAGGAAAUAAAUGGUCAGCUCGACAACUAAAGUAAAUAUUGCUUAGGUGAAAAGAGACACAUUAAUUCAUGAUGAAUAGCGUAAAAUUAGAUUACAGUAAAUAUAAGGUAGAGACAACUUUUGAUGGUUUCCUUAAAGUAUAACGAAUACUAAAUAAAGAAAAAAACCAAAGAAUCCUAAACCUAACGCCUAAGGAAAAAAAAAUCAAAGAAUCCUAAAUCUAACGCACUACAAUUUUUUUUGGCUUCCUAACGUAUAAUAAACACUAAAUAAAUGAAAAAAAAAAAGAAUCCUAAACCAAACACAAUAUAAACUUUUUAAAUAAGGUGAAAGUCCUAAAUUACAUAUAUUUUAAAUAAGGUAAAAAAUAAUUUAUAGUAAGGUAAAACUAAUUUAUAGUUUAGUAGGUUUCGAAGUCUCAAAUUAGAAAAAAUAACUAAUUUAUUAAUUUUUAAAUAUAAAAAUAGGAAAAAGACGAUUUUGUCUAAAGUGAAAGACUUUUAACGAAGGGCAAAAAGUUCAAAUCACUUUUCUAAAGGACUUCACACUUUUAAUAUAUUAUAGAUAUUAAAAGUGUGAAGAAGUGAUUUGAACUUUUUACCCUUUAUUAAAAGUCUCUACUUUUGACAAAAUUGUCUUUUACUAUUUUCUUUUAAUUAUUAUGUUAUUAAAUUAAAGAGUCUAAAAAUAUAUGGAAAGAAUAUAAAAUAAAUAUAUAGAAAGAAAUAAAAAUAUAUGAGUCCUAAAUAUACCAUAAUUAGACUUGUAAAAUAAACACACCAUUCUAUCUUAUAUUUAUAGGAAGAGAUACCGACGACAUGACGUAGAGCAUAGAGGAGUAAAAUGGAAGCACGUGAAUUUCACAAACGAUAUCUUACUUGAUCUACAUGGCUAAAGAUGGCUUAUUCAUAAAUAUUUUAUCGUCUAGAUACUAUAAAACCAUUAUAUUUUAACCAUAGGAUUGUGAAUUCUGCAUUGCCUGGCAAGCACUUUAUUGUGCCCCCUUUGGACAAAAUUAACGUUACGUUGUCUUCUCGAUCUCUGUAUAUAUACACAUGCAUACACAAAAUAACACACGCGCAUGUAGCCACAGAUAUAUAAACUGGUUGCUAAUAAUGCAUGUGUUUGGUCAAAUAUAGGAAUGAUUUGACAACUUAAAACACAUACACGAUGAAGAAGGUAAUUGAAGGAGAUAAUGUACUACCAAACUAAGUCAGAUAAUACAUUGCUCAUCACUGGACUGGCAAAACCCACUGUAUGCAUCAAUGGCAAGCAAGAAAUUAAAUUAAAUUCCGUUCCCAGACGUCUUGUUUGUGCCUGCUGCAUAUCAGUUAAGCUUUCCAGAAGAUUAUUCAUCCACACGCACGCAACAUCUGAAGACCAUCUAAUUGCAAGAAACCAUCAAGGAACAUCGAAUUCGGGAUGAAAAUUUUUCAAUUUGUACACAAGAAUAUGUAUGUAUGCCUUCAAUAAGGAAUUAAUGCAUCCUCUUCAUUAGAUCUACUGGUAUUCUUGCUAGCAAAAUAUACUCAUUAUACAAACAAGUAUUAAAAUUUAUGAAAGGAGGAGAAUAAUCUUCACACUUUAGCUACAAGAAUAUCACCACUCAAGACUCCCAUAUGCCACAUACAUGAAACACAUUCAUGUAUCCAACAAUAUAACAUGUUGAAGACAAACAAUUAAUGGAACUACGGAAUUGUAUCAUACUGUUCAUUCAUUUAAAUUGAAUACUGUGCUUUUGAAUUAAGUAUUCUUGAAUCAAAUAUUUAAGUUUGAAUGUUGUAAUAUGUGUUUUCGGUGCAUAUUAACAUAAACAUACGUGAAUAUUUUUUUAAAGCUUUACGUGCAGAUAUAUAUUGCAUAGAACAAGUUGGUAUCAAUGGAGUUGUGUAUCUUUUUGGUUGAGUUUACACUUUUACUUGAUCUAUGAAUCAGGUAGGUGAUUUAAAUAUAUUUUUAUUAUGUUUUGGUUAUGAAACAAGAUAUAUAAGUAUGGUAUAAGAGCUCCUUUAACAAGAAUUAUUUCUCAACAUAAUUUUCUGCCUUUGAUGAUUUUCAUCUUCUCUUGCAUUAAAGAAAAUUUUGAAUAAUGCAAGGGUGAACAGACGAGAAUUAGAUCGUAUGCUAAAAUUAUGCAAUUAGAUUUGUUCAUGAUAGGUAAAUCUAAUAUCCAAUUAUUUGUUUAUUUAUGUUUUAUUAUAAAAUCAAUACUUUUAUAUCAUGAUGUUUGAUUUUUAUAUUUUUCUUACAAUAUUCCUGUUUUGAUAACAUUCGUUUUUAGCCAAGAGUAUAUCAGAAAUAAUAUCUCUAUCGCACAAGAUAUGGAUAAGAUCUGGGUGCACAUCCACUCUCGACAUCUUUAAUGUUGACAUCUUAGGUUUAUCCGAGAAGUUAAAAAUAAUUUUUAAUUUAAAAAUUAUUGAUGAUGAUGUUGAAUUAAAGGGUUGACAUCUUCAGCCCAAGAGUUUAUUAGAGAAGUUAAAAGCAACUAUUAAUUCAUGAAUUGUUGAUGAUGAUGUUGAAUUCUCAAAAGAAAAAAUGUGUUUAGGGAAAAUACGUAUCCCACGAGAAAUUAUCCAUAAUAAUUGGGUUAACGCAUGAUACCGUUCAGAGGCUUUGACAUCCUAUGAUACUUGUACCUCGAUGAGGUUGUUACACUCACUUUUUCUUUCGAAACUUUCCCUUUUCCUUCUAUUUUAACAUUUAAUAAGUUUGUCUUAAAAAUAUAACUCUUUUUCUUGCUUUGCUUUGUUUACAUUAAUUUCUUGCAUCCAAUGUGUGAGAUUAUAGCUUAGUUCAUCUAUAUUCAGCGUUGGGUUUAAGUGAAAUAGUUGAGGAAAAAGUUAAAGAUGGGAGCUUUAUUCACUUCUCGUGGGUGUGCUGGAUGGUUAACACUUUAUGGAUUCUAUUUAUACUUUUAUUUAGUUAUGUUUGGUGGCUGAAUUAAGUUUAUCACUUUUAUUUAGUUUUUUUUUUUUUUCAAGUUUCAGGGUCUUUUGUUAUAGGGUUUGCUUUGAGUUUUAUCAAAAUUAUAGUUAUUUUUAUUGGCGGAAAAAAAUUUUACUUGAUGAAAAAGAUCUCUUCUAUAUUUGGUGAAUAUGAAUGUCAAUGUAGUGUAUAUGAACAUGAAUCUCUUCUAAAAAAUCUCUUUUAUUGUAUAUAUUUUUAGUGAUAGUGUUGAGAAUAGAGAUUGUAUAGAUGCAGGGUAAUUGAUGGCACUAAUGUAAUUAGCUAAGAUCAUGAUAGUUAACUAGUUAGAGUAUGUGAUGUGGCACCCAGCUGGAUAAUUCAGUUAGUGUGGUGUAUAAGUAGUGAUAUGUUAGUUACAGAUUAAAAAAAACUGAUUGUAGAUAUUUUCCUCUCUCAAUAUAUUGAAAAUCUUCUCUCUAGAAGUUUCUAUGUGUUCUUCAAUGGAGUCUCAUAAUUGAUUGAGAUGGUAAUCACUUUGUGAUCUGUUUACAGUGAUAAAUUCUAUAUGGUAUCAGAGCUACGACCAUUAUUGUGAGUUGUGCGAUCGCUCUUUACUACAAAUGCAGUUUUUUGUUCAGAGAAUUUGAAGAAAACUCAAAGCUCAACAAUGGCGGGAGUGAAAUUUGAUCACAAUCAUGCAUUAUUUCUUCAUCCUUCAGAUACUAUUGGAGGUUCUAUCAUUCCUAUACAGUUAACUGGAUCCAAAAAUUACUCGAUUUAGAGUAGAGCUAUGCGAAUUCAACUCCUAGGUAAAAACAAAUUACGGUUGGUCGAUGGUAUAUGGAAUAAGGAGGAUUUUGCAGUUGAAUUAGCCCAUUAAUGGGACAGAUGAAAUGCAAUAGUCCAAGGUUGGAUCAUGAGUUCAGUUGCGAAAGAACUUCACACUGAAAUAGUAUAUGCAGUGGAUGCAAAAUAAAUUUGGGACGAUUUGAAGGAAUAUUUUGAUAAGGUCAAUGCGUCAAGGAUCUAUCAGUUACAUAAGUCGAUUGCAACACUAGUGCAAGUUACUGACAGUAUAGUUGUUUAUUUUUUGAAACUUUGAAAUCUUUGGGUAGAAUAUGAAUCAAUGGUGCCGCCUCCAUGUGAUUGUGCAAAGGCUAAGAAAUUCUGUGCGCAUAUUCAAAACCAGAAAUUGAUGCAAUUUUUGCCUCUCUUUAUGCCACCAUCUUGAGAUUUUCUACUUCCCCAUGGUCUAACACCCAAAAGAUUUUUUUUAAUAACCGUGGUGUCGGGGUCAGUUUUUGGUGCACCUCGACUAAUUCCACGGGAUACAUGUCACUUUCCAUCGGCAAAAUAUGUACCAGGUAACUCUGUCCACCAAGCAUAAGACAGAUGGGAAGAUUUCACCUAGCUUACACUUUUAUCACAAAGCUUACACUACAUAACAAUUCAACUCUGACAAAGCAUAACAUUGCUUCAAAAUCUGCUUCUUGAUUGUGUAACCAUCAAAAAGAAUCCCAAAUUCAUCAUUAAAGAAAAGAAUAAAUAAAGCUUUCUGACAACAUAAAAUCUGCUUUCUCCGCUAAAUAAUCAUCAAGCAAGACCAGGCAGAUUAUCACCAAGAGGGAGAAAUAAAUGAAGCUAAAACAAAAAUAUUCCACCGAUAGACAAAUGAAAGGUUGCUUGCACUUAAUAAGGUAAACAUACACAAUACUUCAUGAGCAGUUAACCGCUCUGAGGGCUGCAUGCACAACAUCUUCCGGAUAAGAUCUUUUGCACUCUCAGAUAUCAACGGCCAAGGAUCUGAGUCAAAAUCAAUGUGCCCUUUCAGAACUGCAUCAAAUAUUCCCUGUUGUGUUUCUGUAGAAUUCAGAAUGUGAGUUUAUGGAGAUAGAAAGAAAGUUGACAACAUACACGUUAAGAUAACUAGAGAAUAUACCAGCCCAAAAUGGCGGCACACCACUUAGCAGUAUGUAGAGUAUGACUCCUGCUGUCCACACAUCUGCUUCAGGACCAUAAUGCUUCAAAAGCACCUCUGGAGCCACAUAAUAUGGACUACCAACAACAUCUGUGAAUAUUUGGAUUACAGGAGCAAAACAAAGAAUACCAUUCAACCAACAUAACAAUAUAAAGGAAAUAUUCAAAUAACGGUCGCUACAGAAUCAAUGUCUCGCCUCUCGAAGACCAAUAUUUACUUAUCCCCCGAGAGUGACAACUUAGGGAUAUAAGCAUCUCCAAAAAAUCACUUUAGUAAUAGUUCAAGCAUCAAGUUAGAAAAUAAAAUCUGUGAAAAAUACAACCAUGAAAAUCUCAACAGAGAGUCAUUAAGCCAAGCAUAUGCAAAUCUUGAGGAAAUAAAUGGUCAGCUCGACAACUAAAGUAAAUAUUGCUUAGGUGAAAAGAGACACAUUAAUUCAUGAUGAAUAGCGUAAAAUUAGAUUACAGUAAAUAUAAGGUAGAGACAACUUUUGAUGGUUUCCUUAAAGUAUAACGAAUACUAAAUAAAGAAAAAAACCAAAGAAUCCUAAACCUAACGCCUAAGGAAAAAAAAAUCAAAGAAUCCUAAAUCUAACGCACUACAAUUUUUUUUGGCUUCCUAACGUAUAAUAAACACUAAAUAAAUGAAAAAAAAAAAGAAUCCUAAACCAAACACAAUAUAAACUUUUUAAAUAAGGUGAAAGUCCUAAAUUACAUAUAUUUUAAAUAAGGUAAAAAAUAAUUUAUAGUAAGGUAAAACUAAUUUAUAGUUUAGUAGGUUUCGAAGUCUCAAAUUAGAAAAAAUAACUAAUUUAUUAAUUUUUAAAUAUAAAAAUAGGAAAAAGACGAUUUUGUCUAAAGUGAAAGACUUUUAACGAAGGGCAAAAAGUUCAAAUCACUUUUCUAAAGGACUUCACACUUUUAAUAUAUUAUAGAUAUUAAAAGUGUGAAGAAGUGAUUUGAACUUUUUACCCUUUAUUAAAAGUCUCUACUUUUGACAAAAUUGUCUUUUACUAUUUUCUUUUAAUUAUUAUGUUAUUAAAUUAAAGAGUCUAAAAAUAUAUGGAAAGAAUAUAAAAUAAAUAUAUAGAAAGAAAUAAAAAUAUAUGAGUCCUAAAUAUACCAUAAUUAGACUUGUAAAAUAAACACACCAUUCUAUCUUAUAUUUAUAGGAAGAGAUACCGACGACAUGACGUAGAGCAUAGAGGAGUAAAAUGGAAGCACGUGAAUUUCACAAACGAUAUCUUACUUGAUCUACAUGGCUAAAGAUGGCUUAUUCAUAAAUAUUUUAUCGUCUAGAUACUAUAAAACCAUUAUAUUUUAACCAUAGGAUUGUGAAUUCUGCAUUGCCUGGCAAGCACUUUAUUGUGCCCCCUUUGGACAAAAUUAACGUUACGUUGUCUUCUCGAUCUCUGUAUAUAUACACAUGCAUACACAAAAUAACACACGCGCAUGUAGCCACAGAUAUAUAAACUGGUUGCUAAUAAUGCAUGUGUUUGGUCAAAUAUAGGAAUGAUUUGACAACUUAAAACACAUACACGAUGAAGAAGGUAAUUGAAGGAGAUAAUGUACUACCAAACUAAGUCAGAUAAUACAUUGCUCAUCACUGGACUGGCAAAACCCACUGUAUGCAUCAAUGGCAAGCAAGAAAUUAAAUUAAAUUCCGUUCCCAGACGUCUUGUUUGUGCCUGCUGCAUAUCAGUUAAGCUUUCCAGAAGAUUAUUCAUCCACACGCACGCAACAUCUGAAGACCAUCUAAUUGCAAGAAACCAUCAAGGAACAUCGAAUUCGGGAUGAAAAUUUUUCAAUUUGUACACAAGAAUAUGUAUGUAUGCCUUCAAUAAGGAAUUAAUGCAUCCUCUUCAUUAGAUCUACUGGUAUUCUUGCUAGCAAAAUAUACUCAUUAUACAAACAAGUAUUAAAAUUUAUGAAAGGAGGAGAAUAAUCUUCACACUUUAGCUACAAGAAUAUCACCACUCAAGACUCCCAUAUGCCACAUACAUGAAACACAUUCAUGUAUCCAACAAUAUAACAUGUUGAAGACAAACAAUUAAUGGAACUACGGAAUUGUAUCAUACUGUUCAUUCAUUUAAAUUGAAUACUGUGCUUUUGAAUUAAGUAUUCUUGAAUCAAAUAUUUAAGUUUGAAUGUUGUAAUAUGUGUUUUCGGUGCAUAUUAACAUAAACAUACGUGAAUAUUUUUUUAAAGCUUUACGUGCAGAUAUAUAUUGCAUAGAACAAGUUGGUAUCAAUGGAGUUGUGUAUCUUUUUGGUUGAGUUUACACUUUUACUUGAUCUAUGAAUCAGGUAGGUGAUUUAAAUAUAUUUUUAUUAUGUUUUGGUUAUGAAACAAGAUAUAUAAGUAUGGUAUAAGAGCUCCUUUAACAAGAAUUAUUUCUCAACAUAAUUUUCUGCCUUUGAUGAUUUUCAUCUUCUCUUGCAUUAAAGAAAAUUUUGAAUAAUGCAAGGGUGAACAGACGAGAAUUAGAUCGUAUGCUAAAAUUAUGCAAUUAGAUUUGUUCAUGAUAGGUAAAUCUAAUAUCCAAUUAUUUGUUUAUUUAUGUUUUAUUAUAAAAUCAAUACUUUUAUAUCAUGAUGUUUGAUUUUUAUAUUUUUCUUACAAUAUUCCUGUUUUGAUAACAUUCGUUUUUAGCCAAGAGUAUAUCAGAAAUAAUAUCUCUAUCGCACAAGAUAUGGAUAAGAUCUGGGUGCACAUCCACUCUCGACAUCUUUAAUGUUGACAUCUUAGGUUUAUCCGAGAAGUUAAAAAUAAUUUUUAAUUUAAAAAUUAUUGAUGAUGAUGUUGAAUUAAAGGGUUGACAUCUUCAGCCCAAGAGUUUAUUAGAGAAGUUAAAAGCAACUAUUAAUUCAUGAAUUGUUGAUGAUGAUGUUGAAUUCUCAAAAGAAAAAAUGUGUUUAGGGAAAAUACGUAUCCCACGAGAAAUUAUCCAUAAUAAUUGGGUUAACGCAUGAUACCGUUCAGAGGCUUUGACAUCCUAUGAUACUUGUACCUCGAUGAGGUUGUUACACUCACUUUUUCUUUCGAAACUUUCCCUUUUCCUUCUAUUUUAACAUUUAAUAAGUUUGUCUUAAAAAUAUAACUCUUUUUCUUGCUUUGCUUUGUUUACAUUAAUUUCUUGCAUCCAAUGUGUGAGAUUAUAGCUUAGUUCAUCUAUAUUCAGCGUUGGGUUUAAGUGAAAUAGUUGAGGAAAAAGUUAAAGAUGGGAGCUUUAUUCACUUCUCGUGGGUGUGCUGGAUGGUUAACACUUUAUGGAUUCUAUUUAUACUUUUAUUUAGUUAUGUUUGGUGGCUGAAUUAAGUUUAUCACUUUUAUUUAGUUUUUUUUUUUUUUCAAGUUUCAGGGUCUUUUGUUAUAGGGUUUGCUUUGAGUUUUAUCAAAAUUAUAGUUAUUUUUAUUGGCGGAAAAAAAUUUUACUUGAUGAAAAAGAUCUAUUCUAUAUUUGGUGAAUAUGAAUGUCAAUGUAGUGUAUAUGAACAUGAAUCUCUUCUAAAAAAUCUCUUUUAUUGUAUAUAUUUUUAGUGAUAGUGUUGAGAAUAGAGAUUGUAUAGAUGCAGGGUAAUUGAUGGCACUAAUGUAAUUAGCUAAGAUCAUGAUAGUUAACUAGUUAGAGUAUGUGAUGUGGCACCCAGCUGGAUAAUUCAGUUAGUGUGGUGUAUAAGUAGUGAUAUGUUAGUUACAGAUUAAAAAAAACUGAUUGUAGAUAUUUUCCUCUCUCAAUAUAUUGAAAAUCUUCUCUCUAGAAGUUUCUAUGUGUUCUUCAAUGGAGUCUCAUAAUUGAUUGAGAUGGUAAUCACUUUGUGAUCUGUUUACAGUGAUAAAUUCUAUAUGGUAUCAGAGCUACGACCAUUAUUGUGAGUUGUGCGAUCGCUCUUUACUACAAAUGCAGUUUUUUGUUCAGAGAAUUUGAAGAAAACUCAAAGCUCAACAAUGGCGGGAGUGAAAUUUGAUCACAAUCAUGCAUUAUUUCUUCAUCCUUCAGAUACUAUUGGAGGUUCUAUCAUUCCUAUACAGUUAACUGGAUCCAAAAAUUACUCGAUUUAGAGUAGAGCUAUGCGAAUUCAACUCCUAGGUAAAAACAAAUUACGGUUGGUCGAUGGUAUAUGGAAUAAGGAGGAUUUUGCAGUUGAAUUAGCCCAUUAAUGGGACAGAUGAAAUGCAAUAGUCCAAGGUUGGAUCAUGAGUUCAGUUGCGAAAGAACUUCACACUGAAAUAGUAUAUGCAGUGGAUGCAAAAUAAAUUUGGGACGAUUUGAAGGAAUAUUUUGAUAAGGUCAAUGCGUCAAGGAUCUAUCAGUUACAUAAGUCGAUUGCAACACUAGUGCAAGUUACUGACAGUAUAGUUGUUUAUUUUUUGAAACUUUGAAAUCUUUGGGUAGAAUAUGAAUCAAUGGUGCCGCCUCCAUGUGAUUGUGCAAAGGCUAAGAAAUUCUGUGCGCAUAUUCAAAACCAGAAAUUGAUGCAAUUUUUUAUGAGAUUAAACGAGAAUUAUGACUAUCCUCGAACUUAAAUUCUGACGACAACUCCAACUCCCAGCCUUAAUAGAGCUUAUACUAUGCUUGUUGAACGAGAAAGCCAAAAAACUAUGGGGAGUUUGUCCAUAACAGGAGAAGGCACUGAAGUUGCAGCCUUAUUACCUAAGUGUGGAUCUAUCUACUUCAAACCAAAGAAGAAUGGUAAUCCUAACUGGAAUGCAAUAUGUGAAUUUUGCAAAAUGAAAGGUCAUGUUGAGGAUGACUGCUACAAGCUACAUGGUUAUCCUGAAGAUUAUGUCCACAAGAAGAAAGGUAACUUUUAUCCUUAAGGGGAGAAUGCUCAUUCACGCAAACCAACCUUUAGACCAAAUGCAAACAGAAAUGAAGUAUACAAUGUUCACACCAAUACUUUCACUACUCACCAGAACAAAUGCAACAGAGUUGGAGGUAAGACUGAAUCCAAUGAUGCAGGUCCAAGUAGCUCAAGAAGUUACAUGCCUAAGGCUCUACAACUGACUGAGGAUCAACAUGACAAAAUCAUGAUCCUGCUUAAUAAAUAGAUGCCACAGCUGUAUAUGGUUAACAUGGCAGGUAUUGUUCAAUCUCUUAUGUCUAGUAUAGAACAAGCCAAUUAGAUAGUGGAUACUGGUGCAAUGAAUCAUAUGACAUCCAAUUUGAAUUUGUUGCAUAACGUUAAAUCAGUCAGCAUAGGGGAUAAUAAAAAAGUUCAUUUGCCAAAUGGAGAAAUAGCUGCAAUAACACAUACAGAAAACUGUAUAGUAAUGGGUACACAGGACAUACAGAAUGUAUUAUUUGUGCCUGAGUUUAAGUACAAUCUUCUAUCUAUUUCCAAGAUAACUAGAGAGCUUAGUUGUUUUGUCUCUUUUUACCCUGAGUUUUGCCUGUUCUAGGACCUCUUUAGUGGGAGGAUGAAGGGGAUUGGUAGGGAACAAGAUGGCCUGUAUCUACUGAGUCCUCACAUACCUGCUAUAGCCAGUUUUAUCACUAAUAAAGUAGAGAAGAUGGCGAGUAAAUCCGAUAAGGUAUUGACUGCUAAGGAAGACAAGAUGACUGAAGACAUCAUGCUUUGGCACAGAAGGCUAGCUCAUGCUUCUGGUGCAUCAUUGCAGGGAAUGCUUGGUUAUAGUCUAGAUGAAUGUAAAUAUAUUCUAGUUGAAUGUGAUAAUUGCUCUUUAGCUAAACACACCAGACUUUCUUUUCCUUGUAGCACUAGUAAAUCCAGUUCUCCUUUUCAGCUUCUACAUUUGGAUGUAUGGGGACCAUAUCAUACAGAAACAUUUGAUGGUAACAGAUUUUUUGUGACUGUUAUUGAUGAUUUUUCUAGAAUCACUUGGGUUUUCUUUCUUAAAUUCAAGUCUGAUGUGUUGAUCAUUUUGAGAUAAUUUUUUAAAAUGGUUCACAUUCAGUUUAAGGUUGUUGUGCGAGUAGUCAAGACUGAUAAUGGAGGUGAAUUUGUUGGCUCACACCUGCAAACUCUCUUCAAAGAGUUAGGCAUUAUACAUCAUAGAACAUGUGUUUAUACUCCCUAGCAAAAUGAUAUAGCUGAGAGGAAACACAGACAUCUACUUGAAGUAGCCAGAGCCCUCAGGUUUCAAGGGCAUAUUCCACUUUCUUUCUACAUUGCAUUUUAGCAGCCUCCUAUAUUAUCAACAGGUUGCCAACUACUAUUUUAGGAGAAAAAUCCCUUUAUGAAGUAUUUUUUGGUAAGAAACCACAACUUUUCAUUUGAGAAAUCUUGGUUGUUUGUGUUAUGGGAGUGUCUUGCCUAGGGUUGAUAAAUUUGCUCCAAGAGCUGUCAAGGCUAUGUUUAUGGGGUAUUCUGCUGUAACCAAGGGUUACAUCUUAUUUGAUCUUUUGAAUCAGAAGUUUUUUGUCAACAGAGAUGUCCAUUUUGUAGAAAAUGUUUUUCCCUUUAAGGCUGAUCUUUCUACUCUAGUGUCUUCCACUUUUUCUCCACCAGCUAUUCAUGAUUUGAUACUACAUGAUCAGUCCACUGAUAGUGCUGCUACUUCUCCAGUUUCCUCACAUGUUGACAGUGCUGAUACUCAGUUUCCAUUGCCUUCUUCUAACGUUGGUCAUAUAAUACCUUUGCCUCCUAAAAGGUCUUAAAGGCAUACUAAGGCUCCUUUAUAGUUAAAGGACUUUGUUACUAAAGGAUCAGCUCAUGCAGUCACUUAUCUUCUUGCUGAUUCUAUCUCCUAUGGUAAGCUUUCUACAUCCUAUUAAGCUUAUUUGAGCUCUUUAUCAUCUGUUCAGGAGCCACAAUCUUAUCAGGAAGCUGCCUCUGAUAGUAAAUGGCUUGAGGCUACGCAAACUAAAAUUAAGGCUCUCCAAGACAAUAGUACUUGGAGAUUAGUUCCCUUACCAAAGGGUAAGUCACCUAUUGGAUGUAAAUGGGUGUACAAAGUCAAGCUUAAGGCUAAUGGUGAAGUUGAAAGGUAUAAGGCUAGGUUAGAUGCUAAAGGCUAUAGCCAACUAGAGGGUCUUAAUUAUCAUGAAACAUUUUCUCUCGUGGUUAAGAUUGUCACGGUAAGGACUGUGUUAUCUUUCGCUACUCAAUAUGCUUGGCAUAUUUACCAACUUGAUGUCCAUAAUGCUUUUCUUCAAGGUGACCUUUAUGAUGAAGUUUAUAUGGAGUUCCCUCAGGGUUUUUCUAGCCAGGGGGAGUCUGGUCUUGUGUGUAGGCUAAAAAAAUCCCUCUAUGGACUUAAGCAAGCCAGUAGACAGUGGAACCUAAAAUUAUGUAAAGCUUUGUUGAAUUUUGGUUUUGUACAAAGUGCUUUAGAUCAUUCUCUUUUUAUCAACAAGUCAGGCAAUGAUGUGGUGAUCAUCUUGAUGUAUGCUGAUGAUAUGUUAGUCACAGGAAAUAAUUCAAGUCUGAUAGAAGCUACCAAGAACUCACUACACAAAGCAUUCAAAAUCAAAGAUCUAGGUGAGUUGAAAUUUUUCCUUGGAAUGAAGUUUAGUAGACCAGCAAGAGGUAUGCUAAUCAAUUAAAGGAAAUAUGCUUUGGAGAUACUUUAAGUCCUUGGAUUAGGGAGUGCAAAAGUAGCUGGGACACCCUUGGAACCUAACAUGAAACUUACAACUCAAGAGCUUGAUGGAAAACAAGAAAGGCAGAUGAUGACAUUUUCGAAGAUACAGGGAAAUAUCAAAGACUUAUUGGCAAAAUGUUGUACUUAACACUAACCAGGCCUGAUAUUGCCUAUUCAGUUCAACUGUUAAGUCAGUUUUUACAGCAUCCUAAAAGCUCUUAUUGGGAAGCAGCAGUGAGGGUCAUGAGAUAUAUUAAAAGAGAACCAGGACUUGGAAUUUUAAUCAGUAGCAGACAGUCGAAUGCUCUUAAUGUCUAUUGUGAUGCAGACUGGGCUUGUUGUCCUAAUACCAAGAGGUCAGUUUCAGAUUUUCUCGUGAAACAUGGAGACUUUUUGUUCUCAUGGAAAUCAAAAAAACAAAAUAUGGUGUCAAGGAGCUCAGCAGAAGCUGAGUACAGAAGCAUGGCAAGCUCUGUAUCUGAGGUAGUAUGGAUUAUAACAUUGCUAAAGGAAUUGGGAUUUCCAGUUGAUUCCAGUGAUUAUACACAAUGAUAGUAAAGCUGCUUUACAAAUCGCAGUAAAUCCAGUUUUCCACGAAAGAACAAAGCAUAUAGAAAUUGAUUGUCACUUCAUUAGGCAAAAAAUUCAAGAAGGACUUGUAAAAACAGAACAUGUGGACUCCGAACAUCAAUUAGCAGACAUCCUGACAAAAGGCUUGGCAAAAGCUCAACAUGAAUUCCUAGUUAGCAAGCUAGGUGUGUUAAAUGUGUUUACACCACCUAGCUUGAGGGGGGUGUUGAUAAUAGAGAUUGUAUAGGUGCAGGGUAAUUGAUGACACUAAUGUAAUUAGCUAAGAUGAUGAUAGUUAAUUAGUCAGAGUAUGUUAUGUGGCAGCCAGCUGGACAAUUCAGUUAGUAUGGUGUAUAAGUAGUGAUAUGUUAGUUACAGAUUAAAAAAAAACUGAUUGUAGAUAUUUUCUUCUCUCAAGCUAUUGAAAAUCUUCUCUCUAGAAGUUUCUAUGUGUUCUUCAAUGGAGUCUCAUAAUUGAUUGAGAUGGUAAUCACUUUGUGAUCUGUUUAAUAAGUAGGAAUCUCUCAAGGGCUAAAAUAUUAUAUGUGACUAUUUUAUCUCACAUUCAAUAUGGAAUAAUAUUCCACCAUUUUAAUUAAAGUGAUGGGAUAAAAUAGUUUUGAAAUUAGUUAAUAUCUCAUGGAUGGAGUUAAUUACAAAGUCUAUUCUGAGAUUAUUAUACUUAUACACUUUUCAUAUGUCUAUGCAUUUGAUGUAAUGUGUAUUAAAUCUUUUGCGACACUUUGAAAUUAUUAUUUUUUCAAGAUACCAAUACAUGAGUAUUGAUCCUCAGUUUACAUAGAAAGUGAUGUACUUUGACUUUAUAAAUCCAAAUUGGCAAACACAAUAUAGAACCAAUCGAAGAUUGGAAGAAAAAUUUAAAGAGCAAGAAGCGAAAUUUUUUGUAUUGUGAAAGAGAAAGAUCUCAUCAUAAGUCUCACAUCAUCAAAGAUCUCAUCUUCUUCUUUUGUAUAUCCUUUUCAGUAAAUUAAUGUGUACGUAUCUUAAUGUGCAAUUGACCUCAAAGAAAAAAAUUCUAUUUACGGUAUGUUGUUAUUUUUUUAAUAAUUUAUUAUUAUUGUAUAAAUGUUAUUGUGAUUAAUGACUUGACUUGAUGUACACGUGCAACGCGUGUACCCUAAACUAGUACAAAAUAUACAUGCAUUAUACAUAUAUUAUACAUCCGCCGAUAACUUUAACUUCAUGUCUAAUUUUCUUUAUUUGAUCUUUUUGAGAAGGAUUUCCCAAGUAUUGUUAAAAUCAAGAAUUAACAUUAAUUUCUUGAUUAUCAUUUCUGUUUUGGUCCACAUGAUCGAACUAUUAUCAAUACUAGUACUAAUUUUCAUGAACCAAAAUAACAUUGAAUGUUAUUUAAUUUGUGUAAUAAGAAAGUAAACAAAUGUUAACCAAAUACACAUAUCAAUUUAUUAACGGAAAAAAGAUCAAAAAUAUCCCUGAUAUAUCAAAAAUACUAAUUUUCAUGAACCAAAAUAACAUUGAAUGUUAUUUAAUUUGUGUAAUAAGAAAGUAAACAAAAGUUAACCAAAUACACAUAUCAAUAUAUUGAUGGAAAAAGAUAAAAAAUAUCCCUAAUAUAUCAAAAAUAGGUACAUAUUGGUGUAAAAAUAUUUUCAAUCUUUCUUUUUAGCUCUAGAAUAUCCCUCAAAUCAACACCCUAAGAACUUUUUUAAAGUUAAAAAAAGUCAUAUAACUUAUUAUUUUGAUUUGUUCCGUCUAUUAUUUUAUUUAAAACACACUCAAUUUAAUUUAAUUUGAUGUUGUGGAAUCAAAGAUACAUACAUACUCUUGAUAAGUUGCUUCAUUACAAUGUGAAAUUCGAAUUAGUCGGGUGAAAUUUUCUAUCGAAAGAGCGCUACUAAUAGAAUAGCAGUAUAAAGGCCUAUAGAAUAGCAAUAUAAAGGCCUUUUUUGAGACUAGGUUUUUUAUUAGAAAUUCUAAUUUAAGUACUGUCAGGAGUUGUUGAUUGUCUACCCCACGCCACCCCACCGCCAAUUAAUUUUGGAAAAGGGUGAAAGAGUUAAGUGUUUUACCUACUAGCGUAAACGUGCUUCGUGCUUGGAUUUUCUACAUGGUUAAGUUUUUUAUUUUGACGUCCUACUUGAGCUACUUGUAUGUGUAGCCCAUAAGGGUGUUAUCCACUAGAGGACUAUAUUUCAUGUGUACACAUUAUAUGGUCGAACUGUUUGGAUAGUUCUAUUCAUCGGUCAUAUGUAUAUGUAUUUGAUGUCAUAUAUAUUUACAUAUAUGUACUUAUUAUAAAGUUAGACGAAAUACAUAUACAGACCCCUCAACUAUUUGAGUUUUUUUGUAUAGGCACCUCAAUUAAAUUAUGUACCUAUUGAACCCUUUUCUCCUUCACAAAACGUGUCAAUUGAGCCAAAUCUGCUGACGUGGCAAAAAUUAUAAAAUGUGUGUAAUACACACGCCAGUGACGUGACAAAGUGUCAAAUCAAAUAAUGACACGUGUUAUUUUAACUUAAAUUAAUUAUAAAAAUGUUCUUUUUAAUAUAAUUAAUUUAAAUUAAAAAUAAUUAAUACACCCCACCCACUGAUUAAAUUAAUUAAUUGCCAAUAGAUAAAUUCCUAUGCACCAUAAACUAAUUUACUGCAUUUUUCCCAUUCGUCGCCACCGAUGAAUCUUUUUCUACAUCUCCCGGCGGUGUAGAUAAGUGAGUGGCUGUAGGUGAAUCAUCAAUUUUCGGCGAAUUCAUCGGUGAGAUAGAAAUCAUCGAUGGAUUAGCUAACGGAGGUACUUCAACACUUGGUUUAUUUACACCAACUAAAUUCUUGUCGAAAAAUUCUUUAGGCAAUAAAACCGACGACACCCCAAAUAUAAAAAUUGUGAGAUUUUAAACCCAAAAUCUUUACAUUAUUAAUUAUUGGAUGAAGUUCUCAACGAAAAUCUUUCGCAAAUGAAACGUCACUGUUAUGAGAAAUAGAGUGAUUAAGUUUUUUUUAACAUAAUCAAGUAAAAAAUAUAUAGGAGUAUGAUUUUUCUAACAACUUACUAAUAAUAUUUUACAAAUUGCUUAUUGUAUAUGAGUGUGUGUUGAAUUGAUGUUCAUUUUCUUGGUUGUAGCCAUUAAUGGAGAAGAAGAUAUGGAGAAAAAGAUGAAGAUGGUGACUAUUUUCUUUUUUUUUUUUAAUUUAUUUAAUGUAUUUUUUUAAUUGGAUGGAAUUUUUUAUGUUUAAUUUUUUAAUUAAUUAUGGUUUCUCGCUCUCUUUUAGGAGAGUGCAUUACACAUGUCACGCCAUGUCAGCGCCACAUCAGUAAUUGGGCUCAAUUGACACAUUUUGUGGAAGAGUCAAGGGUCCAAUAGGUUGAUGGUUUAAUUGAGGUGCCUAUGCGGAAAAAGUGAAAUAGUUAAAGGGCUUUUAUAUGUAUUUAGCCUAAAUGUAUUUACAUUAGAGUGAAUGUCUAUAAAAAAUAUAGAUAAAAUUUAUUAAUAUCUAGUUGAUAUCUAUCAGGAUUUGAAGUAUUUGUCUUCUAGUCAUAAACUAGGAGUAUUUUUCCUAUAAAUAAAAGGAUUUUGUUCAUUGUAUUCACAAUCUUAUCUAAAGAAACUCUUCUCUCUCUAUUUAUUCUUAUUAUUUUUACUUUAUAUUUUAUAACAGUACUUACAAAAAGUUUUUUGUAUUUGUAUCAGCGAUAUUCAUAUUUGUAUUCAUAAGCAAAUUUCGAAAGCCAAAUACAUUUACCGCCUAAAAUGUAAUAAAGAUGCCAAUACCCAAAAGCCUAGUAAUUUGUCCAAUUUUAAUUUCAUUUUUUUCCCAGAAAAAAAAUAACAUAAACAUAUAUCUUAAUUUAUCAAACUUAUACAAAUCUCCACUCUUAUAAAAUAAUUACAAAAAUUUCAACUAAUUACGUAUCUUCACUGGAUAUAUCGAGAGCUAAUUAUGUAUCGAGAGCUAAUUACGUAUCUUUACAAAGAAAAAAAUGCAUCAUCAUUAGAUGCAUUAUGUAUCUCGAUAGAUUCAAAAUAAAAAAAAUGUAUCCGAGGCUAAUUAUGUAUCUUUAUAAUGAAAAAAUAUAUCUUCAUCGACAAAUUCAAAAUUAAGAUUUUCAAUAAUUAUAUAAAAUAUCAAAAUUUUCUAUAAUUAAACUCGAAACUAUAUGAAUUUUGUUGUUUUGACAAUUUUUCCGAACCAAAUUUGGCCUAAAAUGCCCAAUCCCCCUGUCCACCAAUCAAUCCUUGCCAAACAAACACAACCUCACCUUCUUACUCACAAAAGAAACACACUCCAUCCCAGCCAUUUAUUCACAUUAUCAAAUGAGAGAAAUUGUCUUGUCAAAACUCUAUUGGGAAGUUUACCUUGUGUGAAAUAUCUUGGUAUGUAAUUUACAAAUUACAAUUUGUUUGUUGUUACUGUUAAUGUAAUCUAGAAAAGAAAUAUUACAACUUGAGUCAAGAUGUUUUGAUUUAAUAUUUUGUUCCUUUUAAAUAGGCCAUCUAUUAGUAAUAACUUUCUUGUAUUUAAAUGCAUAAAUAACAUCCAACUCUAUUUAAUUAUAUUAAUUAUAUAUAAUUAGUUAGAUGAAGUUUCAUUGGUGUAGAUUUUCCUUAUAUAAAAAGUUUUCAUGUUUUAAGAAAUGAAGGAAUAGGGGGUGUAAGUAUAACAUUUUCAUAAUAUAAGAACAUAUUUGCUUUUUUUUUUUACAAAAAAAAAAUGGUCUAUUCAUAAAUAAGUCAUAGUAUAGGAGCGUUUAGUGUAAUUAACUCUUUAAGAAUUAAUGCAACUAUGCAAGUAUAUUUUUCGUAGAUGGUCUUAAGUAAAUACUAUAGUAGCAGCAUAUAUAAUCUACAAAAUGGGUUGUCCUUCGGAAUGGCUCAAUUGAUUUGCAGGAUGGUCAUCCACACAGAUGACCCAGGUUCGAUCCCCCUGAAUGUCUUCUGAGUCGAGCUUGUUCCACGUGCUUGCCUAGUACGGUUUAUAUCCCCUGUGUGAUUUACAGGCUAUUACACAGUAGGGUUUACCCAGUGCGCACAAAGUGCUCACACGAAGGGCAGGUUCGAUCCCCCUUGAAUGCCUUCUGAGUCAAGUAUUGUCACCUCAAGGCGUGAGACAAAAGCAUAUUGGCUAGUGAUUGUGAGGCCCCAAUUCUUGACUGGAGGGAACACCAAAGGCCUCUGCCCUUCCAUCCCUAUCGUCACCGCAGUAGAGUUUAACCACCAAGUUCGGGAUGAAUUGGUGUGGUUCCUCUACGCCUAAAACACCAAAAUAUCUAACCAUGAACAAAGAAAGACAUGAGAGAAAAACAUAUUGGCUAGUGAUUGUAAGGCCCCAAUUCUUGAUUGAAGGGGACACCAAAGGCCUCUGCCCUUCCAUCCCUUGGAUAGAGAGAUGGGGGGAGGGGGCCAGAGCUUUUGAUUUUUUCAUGUUGUCAAAGAUUUGAACAAUGAAAAUAGAUAACGAGUGCCUGAUCGAACAGGUUAUGUAGAGUUUGUUCAACAGUGCUUACCUAGUGCGGUUUACAUUCCCUGUAUGAUUUGCAGGCUAUUACACAGUAGGGGUAUCCUAAAAUUCCAAAAGAAAUCUACAAAAUAGUUACAAAUUUGAUAUUCUGAAUGUAACGCACACAAUUUAGGGAUUCAUUUUUAUCCUUUUCUCACAAAAUUAAUAUUGAAAACUAACAUUAUAGUUUUUGAAGAAGUUAUACAUGAUGAAGCUUCUUCACAUUUUUUUGGCUUUGCUAAUCAUGGCUUCAAUGUCAAAUACUCAACCACCUGUUGGUUCAACAACUUGUCCUGUGCCUAAAGAUGGUAAGUACCUCUUCUUAUAAUUUUAUGUAACAUUUUAAUGGAUAAAGUUUUUACUAUUUACUUUUUAUAGACGAUAUACAUAGAUUAUACAUUAACUAUACACAUAUUAUACAUUCAUCAACUAUUAACUUCUUCUUUUUUCUUGAGUAAAACAUCUAGUACCCCGACUAUGACCAAAUUUUCUACGACAUACUCCAACUUUACGGGGUCUUAUUACCCCCUGAACUAAAUUUUAGAGCAUUUUUUUCAUCCAUUUUUGCUGACAUGGCACCUCUUGUCAACCUUUUUAGCUUACAUAACACCUUAGACGUGGGCACCAUUUGGUGUAAGAAAGGUUCCACGUCAGCAAAAAAAAAGGUUAUAAAAAUACAUUAAAAUAGAGUUCAGGGGGUAAUUGGACCCUUGUGAAGUUGGAGUGUGUCGUAGCAACUUUGACCAUAGUUCGAGAGGUACUGAAUGCUUAUCUUUUUUUCUUUUUAAAACCUUUUUGUGAUCUUUUAGAAUGUGAAGAGGCAUGCAACUUCACGGAGGUCCUGUUUUCCCUGAACUAAAUUUUAGCACAUUUUUUCAUCCUUUUUAGCUGACGUGACAACUUUUGUCAGCCUUUUUAGCUUACGUGACACCUUUGACGUGGACCCCAUUUGAUGUAAUAAAGGUGUCAUAUCAGCACAAAAAGGUGACAAAAAUACGCUAAAAUAGAGUUCAAGAGGUAAUAAGACCCCUGUGAAGUUGGAGUGUGCCGUAGCAACUUUGACCAUAGUUCGAGAGGGUACUCAAUGCUUAUCUUUUUUCUUUUUAAAAUUUUUUUUGUGAUCUUUCAGAAUGUGAAGAGGCAUGCAAUGUGAGAUGCUCACAAAAAGGUCACAAAAAGAGAUGUUUGUUCUAUUGCAACCAUUGUUGUGGAUGGUGUCAAUGUGUUCCACCAGGAUAUGUUGGAGAAAAUAAAGAUUGCUGUUCUUGCUACAAUGAAUGGAAGAAACAAACAGGAGAACCCAAGUGUCCAUGAAAUUUAAUUAAUUUUAUGUAAUCAAUUUUAUGUUUAAUUUUCUUAAUUUGAUUUUCUUGAGAAGGAUUUUUCAUGUCUUGUCAAAAUGAAGAACUAAUAUUUCUUGAUUAUGCUUUUUGUUUGGUCACAAAAUCAAACUCUUUGUUAUAAAUGUAUUUACAUUAUAAUGAAUGUCUAUAUAGAUAAGAUCUAUAGGAAACAAGAUAUAUUUCUCGAUGUUUGAUGUAAUAAUGUUUUCUAUUGUUUGAUCACUCAUAAAUAUUUCUCUCUCGAUUAUCCUCUCCGGGAGCUUUCUCAAUUUCACUAACGUGCCAACUAUGCAUGUUCCAACAUGCAUGAAGAAGUCCAUUAUUUUACUAUCCAAAAAGGUAAGACCAUAGCUCGAAUCAGGGUGGGUCAAGGGAAAGGCUAGCUAGUAAAGCAUUUGCUUUAGACGUUCAAAAUUUUGAGGCCCCAAAAAAUUUAAUAUGAAUUUUAUGAUUUUAAUUUCACUUAAAAUAAUAUUAAAGAUUGAAAAAUAUAAAAGGUAUAAAAUUAAAUUAAUAAUAGAAAAAUAGAAGAGCUAUCUAUUGUUUAUUAAAAAUAUUUUAGAACUUUUUAUCAAAUCUUGAUAUUAAUAAAUAAUGUUUUCACAAUAAUAUUCCAGGUAAUGCAUUGCAAACAAAUGACUAAUAUUUUAUUAAUUAAAAUUAGUCCUUACUUUUAUAAAUAAUAAUAUUACUAUGUUCUAAGAAUACUACACUAAAAAGGUAAUAUGUAAAUCAAAAACAACUUUAAAUUAUUGAUAAUAUUAUUGUUAUGUGCAUAUAUAUAGUUAAGGAAUUUGACUUUAUGUCACUAAUUUUAUUGAGAAGGUCUUGGCUUGAACACUUAUUAUUUGAGCUCUUUGCCUCAAUUUGAUCAUUGACCAGAUUUUGUUUAUUCUUACCCUUUUCAGUCAAAUUCUCAUCGGAAUUUACCAUACGAUUUAAUGUCAAAGUAAUUUCACGCUAAAUUCGAAUGAAGAAAGUAUGAAAUUCUCGGCGAAAUUCACAUGCAAGUAUGACAAUUUCAUAUUACAUUUGAAGAAAACCGAAGAGAAUUGAAAGUAUACCAUGUCAUCGAAGUUAGCCACCGGUGAAAUUAGUCGAAAAAUUCAGUUACGUGAUCGGAAGUGGGAGCUGAAACAACCAAAACUUCUAGAGAAAGAAACUAAAUUUGUUACUGCUAUUAGAGAGAGAAUGGACUGAAGUACUUUUACACUUUUUAUAUAAAAGAGGAUAUAUUUCUAUUACCAGUUUGAGAUUUAGUUGAUAUGUAGUAGUAUUUGAAGUAUCUGUCUUUUAGUUAGAAACUAAGAGUAAUUUUUCCUAUAAAUAGAUGGUUCUAUUCAUUGUAAAUAAUUCUCAAGAAUCCCUUAAGAGGAUCUCUUAUCUCUCAAGAGAAUAAAGAAGUCUCUCUAUUUAUUCUUGUUCUUACUUUAUAUUUCAUAACACGUUAUAUUCUCUCUAUUCUUCUUCUCUAUUCUUUAUUAUUUCAUAACACGUUAUCAGCAUGAGACUCUGCCAAACAAGGUGAGAUUAUAAACCUAAAGAUAAUUUCAAGGUUAGUAAUUCCUUACGUUAUCUGUCAUUUGCUAAUAAUAAUAUAAUUAUUGUUGAAUUUGAGGAAAAAUAAUUGGUUUGGAACCAUUUAUGUUUUAAAUUUAUUCCUCAAGAACAAUAUUAUCAAAAGAGAUGAUAAUAUAUUGGUUUUAAGUCCCAUCGAUUUAUGCAUAAGAUGACUUUAUAUGGAUAAGAUAUUAAGUUUGAAUCUCAAUGCAACAUAUUGAUGGUAUUAUGAUAGCUAAGGCAAAAAUAUAUGUUUUUAAUAAAAAGUCAUGAAAUAUGUCUCGUUGAACAUGCUUCAUUCUCUGAAGUGAAUGUGAUAGCAGUGCAUAAUAUGUCUGAAAGAAGACAAGUGAUUGAAUGCACGAAUAUAUGCGUGGAGGGACAAUAUGAUAAUGAUCAUCAAAAGUGAGAUAUUUUCACACGCAUAUUAUGUUCAUAAGAUAUGUUAGAGAAAAAUUUUCUAGAUCAUAUAUAUGCCCCGAUUUGCUCCUGAAAUAGCAAUAUCAUGAAAAAGAUUAUAAGUUGUCAGAAUUUGAUAGGCUUAAGGCACAAUUGUAUUUCGUUCUCGGGGAAUGUGAAGCUUAUUAAUGCAAACGUGCACUUAAUUGUGAUGGUAUCACAACUGACCUCCGAAAGAGGCCGAAUAACUGAGAAGAGUUAUUUUUAAAUCUGCUUCUAAAGUAGUAAAUCUGAAAUUUAUUCAUGUAAUUAUAAAUCUGAAAUUUACUAAAGAAAAAAGUACAUGUCAUGGUAAACUUGAAGUUUACUAGAAUAAAAGUUCAUAAAUUGAUAUGAACGAUUGUGACAUCUCGAAGAUGUACAUAUUGAGUAUUAGACAUAUGUUGAAGAAAUAGAAAAUUCUUCAAGAAUUGUUUAUGUCGCUUGUUCUCAUGAUAAAUUGGUUGGAUCAACUAAUAGUGGAAUUGAAUUCCCUCAUAAUCUGAAAAAUAUAAAAGGUGAGUAUGGGCCCGUUCACCAGUCAUGUGAUCUAUUAAGAUGUAUCAAUAUAAUAUAUUCACAUGUACAUUUAUUGUCAACCUACAGUUUGACAUUCAUAAAAUUGCUUGCUCAAUAAAAUUGAGUCAAGAGCAUAAUUUUCAGAUUGUGUAAUCAAGAUAAUUCAUCUUGAUGAUAAUGGUUUAGCAUUGAAUGCCUUUGAUAAAUAGCUAAACCAUUGCUAAUGAGAACAAAGCUUCAUGUAUUGAUUUGAAAUAUUAUACAAAAGUACUUGUAUGCAUAAAUCAAUAAAUUAUGAUUAAUUCUUCCUCAAAGUUGGUCCUGAAUCACGAACCACACGUCAUCUAUCUAAUAAUUUUGAUGUGCGGUAUACAAUUAAUGAAUAUACCGUAAUACACAAAGAUGGAUUCCUCAAAGAAAAUGGAGGAUGUAUGUUAAUUUUUCUAACAUAAGGGGAAGAUUAUAAACAGUUAUAAAAUAUGUUAGAAAUUAUCAUCAGAUCCUCAUUCAAAAGAUAAUUCAAGUCAAAUGCCGAAAGCAUCUCAUAUUUAAGCUGCAGUGCUUUUAUUUUAUGUCUCAAAGGGACAAAAUCUAUGCAUGUGUGAAGCGUGAUAGACCAAUCAGUUCCAAAACAAAUAAUCCUGAAAAACGAUUAGGAGCAAAUAAUCAUAAUAAGAAGGCAAUAUGCUCCUGAAGAGCCUACGACAUAACACUUCUUGAAACCUUAUAAGAGGUUCAGGUACCUGAAAAUAAUAAAGUGAUGAGAUCUCAAAAUGUUAUGUCACAUUGUGAACGGAUACAAAAUAAUAUAUCAUCAAUAUCUUUGAUACAAUAUUGGCGCAAUAUUGUAAAAGAUUACGAGGAUCCGAAUUCUACGUUUAUGUAAGCGUGCUGACGUAGAAAAAUUUAUCAAGUGAUCUGAAAGGAUGCAUUUCGGUAAGCGUAAGACAUUUGAUUUGCAGUCCGGACACUUUAAGAUGUCACACUUGACAUAUUGGAUAUUGUCACUUGACCAUAAUCUAUGUAAAAAUCCCUAAAGGAUUCAAAAUGCCUGAAGCAUAUAAAGUUUUUGAGUAACUUGUUUAUUAUCCUUAUAAGGGAUAAAUUGAUGGUCUGAAUAUUGUUGAAACUCUUGGAGAGUUUUUAAAAGCAAUAGAUUAUUUGCUGACAUGAGAAAUAUACCGAAUUGAAUUGGUUAUGAAAUAUCAUAUCUUAGUGCAAUUGGUGCACUCAUAUAUCUUGCAAAUACUACAAGGCAUGAUUUAACCUUUUCAGUUAAUUUGUUAGCAAGGUAUAGUUCUGCUCCUACCAGAAGACAUCAAAAUGAGAUAAAUACAUGAGUUUAUUUUAUUCUAAAGUUUGCAGUCCCUAUCUUGUUGAUUAUGCUGAUGUUGGGUAUUUAUUUAAUUCACAUAAUUCUCGAUUUCAAUCAUGCAAUGUGUUCAUAUGUGGGGAUACUGUCAUAUCUUGGAGAUAUAUAAAGUAGUCUAUCUAGUCGCUUCAUUAAACCAUGCUGAGAUAAUAGUUAUUCAUGAAGCAAGCUGAGAAUGUGUAUGGUUGAGGUCCAUGAUACAUCUCAUUCGAGAAAAAUAUGAUUUGAACUGUGAUAAUGUACUCACAGUUUUAUACAGAGAUAAUGUAACAUGCAUAACACAUCUUAAUGGAGGAUUAAUAAAAGGAGAUAGAGCGAAGCACACUUCAUCAAAACUUUUUUACAUACAUGAGCUGCAAAAAAAUGGUGAUAUUAACAUGCAACAAAUUCGUUUAAGUAACAAUGUGGCUGAUUUAUUCACCAAGUCUCCUCCAAUUACAACUUUCAAGUAGAUAGCGCAUAAAAUCGGGAUGCAAAGGUUCAAGAUAUUCUUAUUAGAGGGAGUUAAUAUGCAUUGUACUCUUUUUUUCUUACGAGGUUUUGUUCCACUGAGUUUUCCUUGUAAGAUUUUUAAUGAGGCAGCCUACAUGCUUAUUGUUAGAGAUUUGUACUUUUUUUCCUUCACUAGAUUUUUUUUUACUGGAUUUUUUUCUAAUAAGGUUUUAAUGAGGCACAUUAUCUAUCUAUUAGACAUUCAAGGGGGAGUAUUAUAAAUGUAUUUACAUUAUAGUGAAUGUCUAUAUAGAUAAGAUCUAUCAAGAUUUUAUAAGAUCAAUCAAGAUCUAAUUGAUAUCUAUUAAAAUUUGAAGUAUUUGUCUUUUAGUCAGAAACUAGGAGUAAUUUUUCCUAUAAAUAGAGAGGUUCUAUUCAUUGUAAAUAUUUCUCAAGAAUCCCUUGAGAGGGUCUCUCAUCCCUCAAGAGAAAUAAAGAGGCCUCUCUCUUCUCUCUAUUUAUUCAUGUUCUUACUUUAUAUUUCAUAACACAUUAUAUUCUCUCUAUUCUUCUUUUUUUUUCUUUAUUGUUUCAUAACACUAUUGUCUAUAUUACAAUUUUUUAUGAACCAUAACCCAUGAAAAAAUAACAUAAGCAUACAACUUAAUUUAUCACAUUUACACAAAAAUUUUAGUCUAACAAAGUAAUUAUAGAAUUUCAACUAAUUAUUUAUCUUUGUUGGAGGUAUCAGGAGCUAAUUAUGUAUCACGAUAGACCCAAAAUCCAAAAAAAUAUAUAUCGAACACUAAUUAUAUCUUAACAAAGGAAAAAUGUAUCUUUGUUGGAUGUAUUAUGUCUCUCAACGGAUCCAAAAUCGAAAAAAUGUAUCAAAAGUUAAUUGUAUCUUUACAAAGAAAAAAUGUAUCUUUGUUGGAUGUAUAACGUAUCUCAACAAAUCCAAAAUCGAAAAAAAUAAGUCGAGAGCUAAUUAUGUAUUUUUACAAUAGAAAAAAUGUAUCUUCAUUGGAUUUAUCGAGAGCUAGUUAUGUAUCUCGGCAGAUCCAAAAUUGAGAUUUUUAAUAAUUAUGCAAAAUGUCGAGAUUUUCUGUAACUAAGUUUCAAACUGUCGGGAUUUAUGUUGUUUGCCCUUAUAAAUAAGUGUUCUUUUUGCUUUUUGAUCUUAUUUCUAUUUAAGUGUUUAUUUAAGCCUUCAAGAAUAAAUUGGUAAUGUUCUUCUAAAUUUUCUUUGUUUAGAUAAAAUAUAAUCAAUGUCAACUUGAAAAGAGAUAAAUUUAAUUAAGAGUAAAUUGAUGAAGUUGUCUUUUACGUUUUAGGAGUUAAUAAUUUAUUGAAGAAUGUGUCCAACUCAAACGAAACAUUUAUUUAAAAAUAGAGGAAUAAUAUUUUUUGAUUAUGUUUUUUGUUUGUUCACUGGGUCAAACUAUUAUCUACAUUACAAAAAUUUUCAUGAACCAAAAAAGAAAAUGAUUGUUUUCUAUUGAUGAGUAUAUAAUAAACUGAAUGUCCAAUUUGUAUCUUAUAAAAUAACAGCAAGAAGAGUAUAUACGAAUACUACUGCCAUAUGGACGGGUGGACCUAUAGUCACGCUUUCAGUACACCGACACCGAUUAACUUCGACGUAAAUUAGGUAUAAUUAUACGAAAAAUAUAUAAAAUUUUAAAAAGUAUUCAGAAAGUUAAGAAAAUAAUUGAGUAUUUUAGUAUCCAGACCGAAUCUUAAAACUUUGAAUGUGAAUAUGUGUGUUCGAAUCUUGUGCAACAAAUCUAUAACCAAAAAGAGAAAAGAGAAGAUAGGAAUUUCUUUAUAUACCAAGUGAAACUUAUGGAAGAGAGCCUUGGAUUAACUGGUAAAAUUAUUGUCAUGUGAUCAGGAGGUCACGGGUUCAAGCAGUGGCUGAGCUACACUCAGGUUACCCCCUUCAGUGAAAAAUUAUGUUAUAUAUACAUGGUUAAAAUCAUUUUUAUGUAUAUAUAUUAGAUGUUGAACCCCCUUUGAUUAGUUUUUAUAUUCACUUAUGAACCCACUUAGGGAAAAUUCUGGCUCCGUAACUGAGUUCAAGGCUUAAAGCCUUGGAAACAGACUCUGGUAGAAAUGCAAGAUAAGACUACGCAUAAUAUACCUUAGUUGUGGGGCCCUUUUCAGGUCCUGCAUAUAACGAGAGCUUUAGUACACCGAAUCGUCCUUUUUUAUCAAGUGGAACUUAUAUAUACUUUUAUUUUUAAACUUAAUAUAUUCAAAUGUUCCAUGUGAACACUUUACAUAUACUAAAAGUGCGUCAUGCAUGAUUCAACCACACUCCAAACAAAAAAAUAAAAUAAAUUUGCAUGUAACUCGCAUGGAUGAUGUAGCAGAAUAAUGAAUAUACCAAACACAUGUGAGCAUAUGAACUCAAAUUAUUAUAUUUUGAUAAUAAAUUUUAUUUAUCUUUAGCUAAUGAAUUUAAUUAUUUUUUUAUUUAUAAAAAACACUUUAUUUUUGUACCUCUUUUUCGUCUUUUUAUUUUUUUUCUCUAGAGUUUUUUUUUGUCAAACUAUUUUUUAAACUUCAAAUGUAUGAAGAUUGAUCGAGACGUUCAUGUAUAUUCACUGGAAAAUUUUAUCUUUGCGAACUCUAAUUUAAUAUUUGCAUGAUAAUUUAUGAAUAAAAGACUUACUAUUUUAAGAACGAAUUAAUGUAGUCAUGAGAAAAAGAAAUUUCAUAGAACAGGUGACAUAUAAUAGAAUGUACACCACAAACAAGUUGAAUCAAAGCACAAGAAACUACGAAAGAAGUCUAACACUGCAAGUAAAAAGAAGGCCCAAGUAUGGCCAGGGGCGAACUUAGGUUCAAAUUAGUGGUGCAUCGACACUCGUUAAAUUUGGUGUAAAAUAGGUAUAAUUAUAUAAAAGACGUACAAAAAAUGGUAUAAGAUGAAAAAAAAACACCCUUUUAAAAUAAAAAAGAUAGAUGGAUGCUUCGAUUUUCAUGCCGAAUCUUAAAGUUUGGGUGUGUUGACAUUGGCCCAAUUGGCAGGCCCAACAAGAAGAAUGACCCGGGCCUAAGAACAUUAUAACAUCAUUCUUUCUUUUAUUUUCUGUAUAUACACACAUGUGGACCCUUCUAGAAAUGUAAGAAAGUUAUUUUUCAUCUCUAAUAAAAGUUUGUGGUUUCUCUUUUGUCCCUUGAACUUCUAGGGUUUUGUAUAUUUUGUUUCAUGACGAUCUACAGAUUUAGAGAUCUAACAUAGUAUCAGAGCAGGGAUUUAUGCUCCUCUUGUCUCCCUCUAUCUUUCGAUGUUACCGUUGAUGGGUUUGGCUGGUUCGCAAUUUUGGAUUUUGAGCAAUUUCGUUGAAUUUUCUAUUAAAUUUACGAAAGUUUUUUAAUUUUUUUAAAGGCCUUGCUUCUUCAGGUUGCGAAGAAGGGUGGUAAUCCCUAUUUUUUACUAUUCCGAUUUCGCUCUUAGAUUGUGAAACUUGUAGCUUGUGUAUUUUAUGCCUACAAGCUGUGAAAGCUAAAUUAGUUGGUGAUUUUUUCAUGUUUUGUGUGCAACUUAUCCUCUGUAAGCAUAUCCCUUGCGUUUUGGUGAUAUUUUCAACAUCCUAAUGUCUACUGUCAAUUCAAGUAUUGUCGAAGGUUUUGAUGAGCUUACAGUUUCACCAACUCAUCUUUUCUAUAUACAUCCUUCCGAUAGUCCACGCACUCGGUUGGUUUCACCUCCUUUUGAUGGUGCUGGGUUUGUAGUUUGGCGAAAAAAUAUGAUUACUUCCCUAUCAGCAAAAACAAGUUAGGGCUAAUAACUGGUACUGUUCCCAUACCAGCAUCUAAUUCUCCAUAUUUUCCCUUUUAUGAGAGGUGUAAUAAUAUAAUAAUUGCUUGGAUCACAAAUUCCCUUUUCACCGAAUUAGCCACAAGUGUCAAGUGUUUUGACACAGCUAAAGACAUAUGGUUGGACAUAAAUGAGAGUUUUGGCCAAUCUAAUGGGACCAAGUAUAUUCAGCUUCAAAAGAAAAUCAAUUCCGUUUCCCAAGGGUCAUCUAGUAUUGCUACUUAUUUCACUCGUCUACGUAGCCUUUGGGAUGAGCUUCACACCUUUUAUGUGGGUCCAGCAUGUACCUGUGGAGCCUUAGGUGAAUUCUUAGAACAACAAAAAAUUUUCCAGUUUCUUAGUGGACUUAAUGAUGAUUAUUUCGUAUGCAAAAUUAACAUCUUGAUGCUACACACUCUCCCCUCGCUGAGUAGUUCUUAUUUCAUGCUCUAGAAUGUUGAGAAACAAAAAGAAACUUCUGCUCUUAUUCCUGAUUUUUUAAAUGACUCAGCUUCUUUUAAUGCUUAUACUCAGAAUCCACAUUAUGGGAGAGGUUUUACUCAGAAAGUCCAUUUUGAUCAUAAAAGAAAUUUUUCUACACACUCUCCACCUGUUGCAAAUAGAAACUACUCUUCUACUCAGUCUGAGUCCAAGAGGUUUUCCUCGUCCGCCAGUCCUAUUUCUGGUUUGUUCUGUAAAUAUUGUAAGUAAUCAGGUCAUCUCAUUGACAAAUGUUACAAACUUCAUGGAUAUCCUGCUGACUCCAAAUUUUCUAGAGCCAAUAACUCUGUUUCCUGUGUGCUCUUUGAUAAUCAGCCUUCUGAUGCUGGGAUUUCUUCUUUAAGAAUUGAUGACUAUGGCUAAAAGUUGACAAAAG
rnacentral:lncRNA from 1 species